rnacentral:lncRNA from 1 species
AUCUCGCUUGAUAGUUUGUUGCGUGUCUGAUUCAGAUUUCCAGAGGUCGGAGUGCGUCUUGUUGGGUACUUGUUUGCAAUUUGUGGCAAGAUAAAUACCUCCAUGCUUUCUUCAGGAACUAAAUAUGCAGCUUACCUCGUGUUCACUUUGAGAUCAGGAAUUAAUGGAUAUGGGCACCAGCUUGCUCAGGCUUUGAUAGAAAUUAGUGGACAAAACGCUGAUGAACAAACUAACUAUUUACAAAUUGGACAAGAAGCUGAUGGUACAACUGUCUAUUGUCCAGAUGAAGAACAGAGGCAAAGGUGCCAGACUGUUCCUAGACCCAAAACUUUCUUGCAUUUAAUCUCUCAUGUAUUUAGACGGCUAGACAUCAUAGAGCCCUCAGAGUUGCACAGAUAUCCCAAGUUCAGGGAUGAUGGAUGGAUGGAAGUUGAGAUGGGAGAGUUCUUCGUCGAGGGGAAACAAGAUCAGGAUGUGAAAAUUAUAUCUGUGCCGUGGAAUCCAGGACUGUGGUGUAAUUGUUGGCAUGGUGGUCAUCUUAUUAUUCAAGGUAUUGAUAUCAGACCAAGAGCUUGGUGAAUAUUUGAUUUACUAUUUUCAUCAGAAAUAAGUUCAUGGGUGUGGGAGUCCAACUAUGUACACUUCCAAUUCAGCUUAUUAACUUUUCUUUGCUUAUUACCUCUGUUUAGGUUAUUUAUUUUGUGUCCCAGACCUCACACAUUAUUCUCUAAACUCACGUGAUAACAAUUUUUUGAGCUUAUGAUGAAUUGGAGAAUUAGGAUUAUCUUUUUUAUUCUCUCUUUUAGUACGUUUCAAGUGAAUGAAUAAUUUUCAUUGUCAGUCAAUUGUUUGAAACUACUAGUCAUAACGACCUUUAGAAAGUUUUUGCUUGAACUUGUGGCUUGAUGCCUUUUCUAAUGCCUAUAACCAGGGGCGGACCCAGCCGUUUUGGAUUGUGGGGCCAAAAAUUAGAGUCGUGCUGUAGUGCCCGCAUGAACGACCGCGGAGUUGACACAACACACACAUGAGAUCGGGAUUAUUUUAUUCAUGGGGUUCCCGUUGGACAUGUGAGGGCACAGUCACUUGCGAGUUCAUCUUCGCGGGUUGUGUUUAGCUCCAAAAAUUAAUGUGUAAUUUUUUAAAACAAUAUAAUAUUUAUAAAAAUAAGUCAAUACGUAUUUUGACAUCUGGAAAGUGUCUUAUAAUUCGAUCAUUAUCAAUAUUGUUAAAUGAAUUUUGCUAUAUGUAUAGUUUUGUUUAUCAUGUCAUUUAUGGAUGUUGAGUUAACGACGAGUAAAUCAAAUUGGAUGUAAGAAGUAAAUGAAAUUUAAGUUUAAUGAAAAAAUAAUUUGAAACUAAUUCAAAUUACAUUUAAUUCGUAAUAAUUUUAGAAUUUUUGACAUCAUAUUUAAUGUAAAAUUUCUUAAUAAAAUAAUGUAAAUUAUAUUAAAAAAUUUAUCUUGAAAAAAUAAUAACUGUAAAUGAAAUAAUUAAUUUUUUUUAAAAAAAUGACGAGUUAAACGCCUAUUUUAAUACGGACGUUUGAUGCAUAUUUAACUAUUUUUAAUAUCUGUUUGGACCAUUCAACAUAACUACGAUGUAGUUUUCAUAACAAGCUUUUAGAUGAUGCAAGCGAUUUGUAGAUUUGGAUAGUAUAUGAUCAUUGGCAAAUUUUAAAAAUUAUCAUAUUAUCAAAAUUUUCGAAAUACUAAUUUGGAACAGCAUACUUUGAUAUAUCGUAACUUUUGCUAUAGUUGAUCAUUCACACACAAUUAAAAAGCGAAAAAUGAAAGUUUUUGCUUGAACUUGUGGCUUGAUGCCUUUUCUAAUGCCUAUAACCAGGGGCGGACCCAGCCGUUUUGGAUUGUGGGGUCAAAAAUUAGAGUCGUGCUGUAGUGCGCGCAUGAACGACCGCGGAGUUGACACAACACACACAUGAGAUCGGGAUUAUUUUAUUCAUGGGGUUCCCGUUGGGUUAAGAAUGUAAUAUUUCGAUUUCAUUUGGUAUGUAUUAAAGUGGGUCAAAAAUGGGUUAAAACAACCGUUUUCUGAAAAUAAAUUAAAAUUUGUGGGGUCAUCUGACCCCACAUGAUCGCCCCUGCCUAUAAUGAUUUCUCUGUUGUCAAAAACAUGUUUUUAAUUUUUAAUUUUGAUUUUAUUUUCAAUAUUUGGAAGGUCUACGUUAAAAUGGUUGAAAAUACGUUCGAUUUAUCAUUCUUGGAAAAUGUUUAUGAAUUUUAUAAUUUAUUUUAUGAUAGUUUAUUUCAUUAAUCUGAUUAUUCAAUAAAAUAGAAUAGUUUUAUAUUAAAACUAGUUAUGUGUCUUAUUUUGAAAGGGAUGUUAGAAUGAAAUUUAAGUUUAAUGAAAAAAUAAUUUGAAAGUAAUUCAAAUUACAUUUAAUUCGUAAUAAUUUUAGAAUUUUUGACAUCAUAUUUAAUGUAAAAUUUCUUAAUAAAAUGAUGUAAAUUAUAUUAAAAAUUUUAUCUUGAAAAAAUAAUAACUGUAAAUGAAAUAAUUAAUUUUUUUAAAAAAAAUGACGAGUUAAACGCCUAUUUUAAUACGGACGUUUGAUGAAUAUUUAACUAUUUUUAAUAUCUGUUUGGACCAUUCGACAUAGCUACGAUGUAGUUUUCAUAACAAGCUUUUAGAUGAUGCAAGCGAUUUGUAAAUUUGGAUAGUAUAUGAUCAUUGGCAAAUUUUAAAAAUUAUCAUAUUAUCAAAAUUUUCGAAAUACUAAUUUGGAACAGCAUACUUUGAUAUAUCGUAACUUUUGCUAUAGUUGAUCAUUCACACACCAUUAAAAAGCGAAAAACUAGGCCAUGAGCGUUUAGAAACGAUAUUAAGAAUGUAAUAUUUCGAUUUCAUUUGGUAUGUAUUAAAGUGGGUCAAAAAUGGGUUAAAACAACCGUUUUCUGAAAAUAAAAUAAAAUUUGUGGGGUCAUCUGACCCCACAUGAUUGCCCCUGCCUAUAAUGAUUUCUCUGUUGUCAAAAACAUGUUUUUAAUUUUUAAUUUUGAUUUUAUUUUCAAUAUUUGGAAGGUCUACGUUAAAAUGGUUGAAAAUACGUUCGAUUUAUCAUUCUUGGAAAAUGUUUAUGAAUUUUAUAAAUUAUUUUAUGAUAGUUUAUUUCAUUAAUCUGAUUAUUCAAUAAAAUAGAAUAGUUUUAUAUUAAAACUAGUUAUGUGUCUUAUUUUGAAAGGGAUGUUAACGUCUUGAAUGUUAAGGAUUGAGGAGAUAUUGUAUUACAAAAUUUCCACACACAUAUUUACAUAGAAGAAAUAAUGUUCCAUAAAUCUGUAAAAGGAUCAAUGAAUGGUGAAACAUUUAAACAAGGAGGGCAAAGGAAAUGCUAUGGAAAAGGCAUAAGGGGAAAGUUCAAAUUUACAAGAGGAGAACAACGUGUUACAACUUAGAAUGUAACAACGUACUUCAAAAUAUACUUUCGUUUGGUUCCUUUUCUACUAAAUUGACGUAGAAAUGAAGCAAAAGUUCUAUACAAUCAAAAUAAAAAUAGAUGCGGAUUGCAAUAGUUAGAAAGAGACAAAAUCAAUCAUUUGGUAAAAACCUCAAAAAUCAGUUGGGGACUUUAGAUACCAUUGGGCUAGACGGAGUUUUUGUAAAGGUUAAUCGAGAAUUUAAGCCACCUAACUGGAAAACAGAAAAUUUGUUAAGGGACAGAAUAUGCAAGUACACAAUAUGGAAAUUAUCAAAGCAAAAUGCUAUAAUAUUUAAUACGAAAUACAAUUUCAUUGUGGGCCUUACCUCUGCAUUGCUCUUCAUGCAGUUCGAAGCAGGCUUUGUGCAACCAUUCAUAAAGGGAUUAUUUUGUUGUAAAAAAUAAUAUUAAUUUCCCAGAAGGUAGGGCUUUCACUUUGUACAUCAAAACUUUAGAAGAAGUGAACGAAAGUUCAUCUAGGGAAAAUAAUAAGGUGGUUAACAUGAAAAGAGACGUAAUUCGUGGAGAAUGUGGAGCUAUUUAACGCUUUCCAUACUAUUAUUUUAGAGAAUUCUGCAAGAAUCUCCGAAAUGAUUGCAUAGAGAACCUUAAUUAGUUACACAUUUUCCAUGUUAACCAUCUCAUUAUUGUCCAUUUGAGAACCUUUAUGCAUAUCUUAUGGAGUUUUUAUAUAAAAGUGGAGGCUCUUGUUUUCUAUGUAAUUUUAUGUUGUUUCUUAGUUGAAUGGAAAGUACUUUCUAUUAGAUCCUGCAAGGCUGGAAAUGUAAUUUGGUUCAGUUCGUAUUCAUAAUUGACAAAAUGAACAAUUAAUUGAGCAUGAAGAUUGAUGUAUAUGUUAUAUAUACGGAUAGAUAAAAGGAAGCGCAUAAUAUACCGUAAUAAUUUUACUUAUAUGGAAUUCGAUUGAAGUUAAUAAUGCCUCAUGUUGCUUUACUUUAAGCAAGGUAGAAGUAGCAUGGAAAAAGUUUUAUACCAACUGUAGUACUUUCUUUAUUAUUCUUAUGGAGCGUAUUAAAAAGGAAGUAUUGUUAACAUAGGUAGGUAGAGAAAUUCUGGAGAUGCGGAUAGAGUCUUGAUUGACACAGUUACAAUUGUUACAAAGGGGAUAUAUUAUUAAAUUGAAAUGCUUUUGAACACGGCCGUGAAGUGCAAGACACAUCAUAAUUGUCAUUAAUGUAGGAGAGUAUUUUCCUAAAAUUAAUAGCUACACAAAAACGCUUGCAAUGGUAAAAAAUUCAUAUUUACCGGUUAAGUUGCAAAGUUUGAAGUCGGCCUAAGAGUUGUCUGCAAACAGCUUAGCAUUGCUAGGAUUUAAAUUAAUUUUUUUUUCCUACCAUUGCAGGCGGGGAUGAUUUCUCGGGCUUAGAAGGCUUCCCGUCUUCACUGUUUCCCAUGAUAACGCACAAAGUGCAGUCCUUUAUUAAAUUGGUAUCCCAAAAAAAAUCUUUUGAUCUUCGAAACAAAAUGUCAAUGUAGUUUAGAUCGAAUGCUUGGAAUGUGUCGAAACAUUGACGAAGUACAAGAAAGGCAAAUCGGGAAAGAAUCAAACUGAAAAUGAAAUAGCUAUUCAAGUCAAAGAUUCAUCAGGUAGCCACUUCAAACCAACUCGAAAUUGAUCGUGUUGAAAUUGGAUAAGAUGAGAUAAACAAAACUUCAGCUACUAUAUUUGAUCCACUAGAAAUGAUAUGUUUAGUCCUUGAUUAGAGUUUUUCUCUCAACAAAAAAGAUAGAUCUUCAUGUGAUGAUCCUGUGUAAUCUGGCAAGAAGCUUGUACUGCAUACUAUGUUACAUCCUCGGCAAUAGAAAAGCUGGGCGUUUGUUGUAUUUCUUCGACCAUUUUAAGGGAGGAAGUAGUUUUUCUUUGCUGUCAUUCUGUGCAGCAUUUGUAACGUGCCUCAACGGAAUGAAUGUACAUAUCAGUACAACUUUUCUGGUUUUGUUGGAAUGGAUAGGACGAGAUGGUAAAGAAUGUAAUGUCUUUCAGCGAACCAUGCCUAGAGAUGGUUUAAUGGGAAAAUAGAUCAGUAUUUGAUCGAGUAAAUAUUAUGUGUGUAGAAGACAUAAUUGGGAUCUGUAGUUUUUUCUGAACAGGAAAGAAACUUCAUUCCACAGAAUCAACAGUAGUAAUGUUUCCCAGAAAACUAGGUGGUCUAUCCAACCACACUUUGCUACGAUAAUUAGAAAAUGCAUAGCUAGCUGUCCCCAGUUGCUUACCAUCUAAUUGGCACAAAUAAUAUUCCGUCAAAUGAGCCCUCAAGUUUUGUAAUGCAGCAUAGGAUGGUGCCCUUGGAGACCUGAAUUUUUGGCUGCUGCUACUGUUGAGAGUAAAUUGCAUGCCUUCCAAGAUAGCCUAAACCUUUGUCGCAUGAGGAUAGCAACGGGCAGAUACUCUGAGGACAAAGAAGUUGCGUCCUUCCCUUUAUUGCGACAUCAACAUUAAGCUUCAAUUGGUUACCAGCCAUAACAUUCACUUUCUGACUCACCUUCCUUAUCGUCCCAUGCCCUCCCGCUGGAGCUCUAGCCAAUUGAUACUCCUCUACAUAAGCGGUCGAGUGGGGCAGAAUUCUAUAUGCUUCACAUAGCAGUCUUUUGAAGACAAUGGAAUUUCAAUCAUAGGAAACAAUAAUUUUUCAAGUAGAAGUUAUUUAUUUCACAAUACAAGAAUUCUAUAUGUUCUAUUUAUCAAUGGAAGUCAUUUAUUUCACAAUACAUCAUAGGAAACAAGAAUUUUUCAAAUUAAACGCCAAAAAAUUAUGGGUCAAUUUGUUGACAAAGUUCAUGAACAAAGUACAAAAUCAAAUAGUGUUGGAAAAAAUGAGUAAAUGGCUCGCUUUUGGCAAGGGAAUGCCCUCCUCAUUCCAAUACUUCAUCUUCAUCACCAAGAAAAGAAAUUGUUUCAUGGUAAUCAACCCAUAAACCAUCUCUAGAAACGUCUUCAAGAUAUCUAGUUUGCUGCUUCUCAAUAUUACACACUGCCAGACGGGAAUCAUUGCACCCAAAAAUGAUAUUUUCCUUCUUUGCAAAUUUAACAUAUAAAGGUCGUUCCCUAGUUCGCACAAUAAUCUCUUGCCAUGUUUCAGCCACCCCGAAUUGUGUCAUUACCCAUACACUCCAAUCGGUUAAAACAUCACGAGGUACAACAACGAGAGCAAGAACCCCUCUGUAAACAAUGAGAUCUGGAAAUCUUGCAAGGGGCUGCUCAAAAUGUGGCAACGUCACCUGAUGAAACGUUUCUGUUCGAGUAUCAAAUGAAAAGAUAAACACAUCCCCUUCCAGCCUGAAGGGAGGAAUGACCAACCAAUUGAUUCGUCCAUUAGCAACUAAGGGGAUAUCUGACUUUACGAAUAGAGGAGGAACUUCCACAUCAGAGAGCCUUUUCCAAGACCUUGCUUUCAAGCUAAAUAUUUCAACUUGACAUUGUUUCACUUCAAGAAUACUAAAAACUUGUAAGAUUCUGAGUAACUUAUAAUCGUCGUUUAUAUUGUCAUACCAAAAUCCGACAUUAUACUGGAAUCUGUAACCAGAAUCAUAUAAAAUAUUGAAGCUAGUGCUCUUAAUGCAUUUAAAUUUCUCAAGAAUCGGAUUCCACAAGUAUAACACUCGACCACAACAUCGAACAUGAUUGUUAGUAAAGCAAACAAUGCCAUUGAAAGAACCAAUUGGUCGAGAGAAGAAAUCAAACUUUGCAGGCCACUCAACCUGAUAUUCCACGUUCCAGUUACAAAGUACUUUGCAAGGUUCGUACCAAUAGGGACCAAACCAAGGGUUUGGCAUGAGGAGAGCAUAAUCUCUUCUAUCAUCAUCUACACAUCGACUGAGAUGAGUAGAAAUGAAAGCAGGAGAUUUAAUGAAUUCAUAAGAGGAUUUGUUUACUAUAGUAAAACGCCCCACAAAUUUUGGGGGCAGCCAUGAGAAAACUUCAUAAAGGACACAUUCCGGAAAAUAUCGAUUGGUAUUAUAAGCCAUGGAGAUCCUACGAAACAACAAAUAGGUAUUAACAAAUUUAUAUUUUCUGUUAAAGAUCAUUUUACAUGAAUCCAGCUCUGUAUUAUAUAACAAAAUUAUGCUGAUAGCAUUACAUUUUACGAUUUUAGUAAAACAUACGAAUCUACACAAGUAAUUAUGAUAUUAAUAUGAAUAUUUAAACCUAAAAAUUGAUUAAAAUAACAGCUUAAUCCACCAUAUUGAUUUGAAUUUAAAUUAACUUACCUUCAAUUCAAAUCUGAGAGAGCGAACGAGAACAGGAGCACAAAUGAAGAAUGGAGCAGAAAAAAUUAGGUGCACAAAUGAAGAUCGAGCGAGCGAGAAUUAGAAGAUCAAGAGAGAGCGAGAGCGCGAGCGCGAGCGAGAACAGAAGCGCAAAUGAAGAAUGGAGAGAAGAGAGGGGAGGGGAGGGGAUGAUAAAGAAAAAUUGGCGGGAGUUUCCACGAGAUUGUUGAGUCAGUGUCAUGUUUGGCUAUUAAUUUAAUUGUACCUAAAUUAUAAUUUGAAUAUAUAUUAUUUCUAAGUUUUGAUUAAACAAAAAUAAUAAAAUUUACAGUAUUUUUUCUCCCCACUUACCCCAGGCAUCAACUAUAUUUUGAUAAACUCAUUUUGAAUCAUACAUAUUUCAUCCAUAUUAAUCAAAAUCUACUAAAAAUUGGAGUUUUAACAAAAUCAAAUAGUUUUUGGUACAUAUUCAAUCGCACAUUGUUUUGGAUUUGGUUGAUCGGAGUUGAAAUAUCUCCAUAUUUGUUUAUCUUCUUUUCAUGAUUUCAUCAUUCUUAACGGACAAAUCCUUUCUGGAUAUUUUUGACGAUUUUGAUAGGUCAAAUAAACCUCAAAGUACAACUAUGUUUUCCAAGUUCGAGUUUUUUUUUUCCCUCCAAGUUUUUAAGUUCGAUUUUUUUUGGUUGUUUGUCUUCAAGUUUGCAAUGAGUCGGAAUGAUGUCAAUCUUGGCUUGUCGUUAUCAUUUGCUCGGCUUCUAUGAUAAAUCGAUGCUUUGUGAUCAAGGUAAAUAGAGAGGAGCAUGUUUAAUACACAUGAUUAAAGCCGGUCCUCAGGCGAGGGUGGGCGAGGCAAAUGAGGCCCUCGCCUCAGGCCCAAUACCAUAAGGUGCCUUAUUUUAGCCCAGAUUUUUUCCCCCAAAACAAGGCCAAACAACCUAGAUCCAAUGGUGUGCAAUUUGAUGCAAAUUUACUGAAAACAAGAUCUAAAAUGGUUAAAUUUGGGGUUUAUUUUCUUAAAAAUGGUGUGAGAUUUGAUGAAUUUUAUAAAUGAGUGUCUAUAAAUAUUCAUAUCGUUGCUUAUUUUUGUACAAAAACUUUGUGAAGAUAGAUAUUUAUGUGGUUGUAUUUGUUAAAUCCAUGUCAUUGUCUUAUUUUUGUACAAAAACUUUGCGAAGAUAUUACAACAUUUUAUAAUUCUUUCAUUCUAGAUCUGCUUUAAAAGGGACAGAAAGUUGUAUUUUAAUAUAUAUGUAUGUUUUUGUUUAAUUUUAGUUGAUAAUAAAUCUUUAGUCAAUUAUGUCGAUUUCUUAAUCUGCACUUCCACACUUGGCAUCAGUUCCUUCAUUCUAUGAUUAAAUCUUUGGUUUUAUUAUUUUAUAAUAUAAAUCAUUUCUAUAAUAUAUUUGGUUAUUAUUUAAAUGUUAGUUUUAAGUUAGCAAUAGGUCGCAUAAUACACUGUUGAAUUUUACAUUUACGUUGAUUUCGUCGAUGCCUAAUUUGUGAAAUUUGCCCUGGGCCCCGACAAUCCCAGGAUCGACCCUGCACAUGUUGUGCAAUAAGGCAUGUGAAUGUGCAUAUCCAUGCGAUUAGGGCGCAACAAGGAUAGUUCGAGCUUAUCUUUAUGUUCACUAUAAAUACAACGAUCCUCUCAUCCCGACAACUCUACAACCCUCACACUCUAACCCCUCAAAAGAAAUUUAAAUAGAAAAUAUUGUCAUUUAGAUUAUAAGUUGUAGAUUCUAUGAAUUGUAAAUAUAUACUCAGACAUCAUAGUACAAAAAAACUUUUUUGAUGAAAAGUACGGUGAUCAUUUGUACUCUAACAGUUAAAACAGUUAUCAUGAAAAAAAUGAUUAUGGAUAAGGCAAAUGAACGGAGUGUUGGCUAGUUUUUGAAUAUCGUAUAUAUAUUUUUCAUAUAUAAGGAAAAUAAGGUGAAAAGUGCUUAUGACCUUUCAAAUCUUUUGGAUACGUGUCUACCAUUCCUUAUAUUGUUCAUUGUCACAAGUUCAUCCUGUUGAAUUCGAUUUCUUUUGUUUACAUGGCCGUCAAUCCCUCUCCAUUUGAUGUAGGGUAAUGUCACUACUUCGCUAAAAAAUUAUAGCUAAUUGGUACAAAUACAAUUUAGCCUAUACCAUCUAAAAUCAAGCUUCCGAAUCCAUCUCAAACCUAAUCCGUCGGGUCCACGCCAACACUAAACUCAAUUAAAUAGCGAUAGAAAAAUAAUUUAUUACGCAACCGAAACUUACCUACCAAAAGAAAAUCUAAAAGACAACUUGCGUAAUUUACCCUCAUCCAAAUACACACAUUUCAUUGGUAAUUAAGUAGACAAAAAGGGCAGGAUGUGGCUGCAUUUACCAACAGUUAGCAAGAAAAUUCAAAUAAUUUUUUUUCUAUUUUUAUUUCUAACAUAAAUAUAAAACAAGUAAAUUGCAAAAUAUAUGAAUCUAGUAAAUUGCAAACGUGUAAAUCGUUAAAUAAAUAAAUAAAUAACCGUAAGAAUAAAUUGCAAAUAUGUAAAUUGUAAAAGAUAAAUAAAAUUUCAACUCGAGACCUGUGCAAGCACAGUUUCCUUAAAACAGAUUUGCCCCCUCACCGUAAGUGCUUGAUGUCUAAUCCGAGCGUUUGUUUCCUAGGAUAUAAUAGUAAAACCUGUAUAAUCUGAGUACCACAGAUACUACUCCGACGAACUGACUAGUAUCCGAACAAUAUCACCAUAGUGACGACGCUAAACAGAAAUCGAGAUGUUGACAGAAAAAAUUGCAAAAUGUUUUUCUCCUAUUUUCGUGUUUGUUUCUGUAUGUGCUGGAUUUGCCGAAAAAAUGACCUUUCAUAUAAGUUUAAAUCUGCCUAUUAACUCCAUAGUAAUAAAUACUGGAGUUGCUUCAAUUUCUGAGAGUUUUGGCAGUUUCAGGAAAUUUAAAGGUCAAUUGAAAAAGGCAAAAAAUUGCAAAAUGUGGACAAUCCAAACGGGCCAAUUUUUGCUCUGUUUUGUUCGACAUUCGUGUACGUAGGUCACGUCUGUACACAAGUUCAAGGUCCGAAAGCAAUUUCGAUAUAUGAUUUACACCCCCCUGCGCGUACACGUGGAGAGAGUCUCUAUGCAACAUAUGAUUACACCAUUCCAAUGUGUAAUCCUAUACAAAGUAGUUAAUACUUUCUUCAUUUUCGUAUGUGGGACUAGACUCAUUUUUCCCACAUAAACCAUCUUUCAAUGGUCAUCUUUGAGCUCCAAUUUCUCAUUCACCCAAACUUCAUUUUUGGCAAAUAAAUAUAUGAUUUUGAUACUCUCACGGAGGAGAACACGAAUCAACUUUGAUAUUCCAAAUUGGACCAACGGAUCCCACCGAAAAUUUUGCCAAAAUUGAGCCAUUUACUCAUUUUUUCAACAAAUAUGAGUUUCUAAAAGAUGAAGAUCGAAAACUUAUAAUGGCCUUGCAUGUGUAGUUGAAUUUUCUCUUACACAUGAACAAUUUUUUUUUUUGAUCGGUACACAUGUACAAUUUUUUUCAUAGUAAGAGUGCAGCAAGACUCCAGAAUCCAACAUAGAUAUUUUUUUUUCUUUUGUGGGGAAACUUAAGAUUUUUCUUAUAUUUUAACAAUAUAUUCUCCAAAAAAUCAUUAUUCAAAAUAUUAUUUUUACACAAUAAUGACCAUCAAGCCAAAUAUUUGGUGAAAAACAAAUAAAAUGGGAAGUACAAUUUUUUUGAUCGGUACACAUGUACAAUUUUUUUCAUAGUAAGAGUGCAGCAAGACUCCAGAAUCCAACAUAGAUAUUUUUUUUUCUUUUGUGGGGAAACUUAAGAUUUUUCUUAUAUUUUAACAAUAUAUUCUCCAAAAAAUCAUUAUUCAAAAUAUUAUUUUUACACAAUAAUGACCAUCAAGCCAAAUAUUUGGUGAAAAACAAAUAAAAUGGGAAGUACAAACUGAUGUCCACAAUGCACAAUGAACUCGUUCUGAAAUGAUCCAGCUUUGGGGAAAAAUGAAAAAAGAAGAGAGAGAGAGAGAUGGGGGUGGGGGUGGGCGUGGGCGUGGGCGUGGGCGUGGGGAUGGGGAUGGGGCCUGGGGGAGUGUUAAACGACGUCGCAUGUGCAAUUAUUGCUUUCAGCAAUGCUUUUCUAUGUGUAAAACCAAAGACGGCAGAAAAAUAUUGUAAGGAUAUGUUUAUUUACUUUAUUCUUCAUGAAAAAUAUGUUAUUUUUUCAUGGAAGUUCGUGAUUUUAAUAUGUUUGAUUGACAUUUUUUUCAUAAAAAAUAUUUUUUAAAAGUUGGUUAUCUGAUCAUAUUUUUCUCAAAAAUAAGGAAAAUAUUUUAUUUGGGGAAGCUAGGUAAAACAUUUUCCAUGCAAUUCAUACUUUCUACAAACUCUCUCUCUCUCUCUCUCACUCUCUCAUCUACACACAAACAAAGAUGAAAAAGUAUAAUAUAUUUUUAAUCGAGAUUUAAGUCAAUCAAAUACAUUUAACUAAAGGUUUCAUCGAUCUAGAUUGAGUAAGCUCACGGCUCGUGCGCAGUCCAAUAAAAAAAAACUCAAGCUUUUUUAAGCCCAAACCAAGCAAAAGUUGACCAUAAUUUGGAGGCUUGAAUCGGGCUUUUGGCUUAGGCUUUAUCAAGCCAGGCCAACUCAAUAAUUUUUUAUUAUUUUUUUAAAAUUCAUGAAAUAUUCACAUAAAAAAGUCAAGUUUAAGUUUUUCUUCUAAACUAAAAUACAAUAAAAAUUUAAUCAUAUAAAUACAAUAAUAUAUGAAUUAGAGUACAAUUUUAAAAUAUAUAAAUAUCCUAAUAUUCGUUUGUAAAAUUAGAAAUAUUAACAAGUAAUAUUAUAUUAACUCAUAUACAGUAAAAUUUUAAAUUUAUAUGAAUAAAAUAUAAUGGAAUAUUAAUGAAUAUGAUAAGAAAUUAAAAUAUAGAUAAUUGUAACAUAAUUAUGAAUAUUAAUUAUGUAAGCAUAUUUAUAUAUAAAUCAUAUUUUAUUGAUUUAAAUCUUAAAUUAAAUAUUAAUAAAACAAAAAAGUUGAAAGUUGGCAUCAAAUCGGGUUGGGCCAAUGACACGGGCCAUUUUCAUGAGCUAGCCCAUACAGCUUGACGAGCCACAUGGGCCGGCCCAGCUCGAGCCGAGUCCCAAAUUUUGGGCUUAGCCCGAGCCUUGGCUUGAUUCUAUCAAACCCCAGGCCGAGCCAGUUCGAGCAGCCUGAGCCAUAUGCAUCAGUAAAUGCAAAGCAUGGCAUCCCCAAUCGAAAAGUUACAAAUGUGAGUUACUUUCUACCAAUAAAGAUACAGACGAUAAUGAUAUAGAAUAUUAAUAUUUUGAAGAUUGCAGUUCUGUAUCUUUUGUAGCUUGAAUUUUCUCAGGAAAAAAAGACAAAAGUGCAAUAAAUAGGAUCAAUUCCAGCAAGCCUUUCAGAACAUAUUAUUAUGUUUAUAGACAUGCACUUCUAUGUAGCAAAAAAAUAAAAAAUUAAAACAACGAGACGCCGUUCUGCAACUAUUUUUCUCCCUCUUAGUAAAAAGAUAGAAUACAAUUGAAGUAGGUCCUAAUACUUUAAAACCAUGGCGACUAAGCAAUGACACUCUAGUUUCAGAAGCACAAUGUAUUCAUAAACUCGGGUCUGGACUCGUUUUAUCUCUCAUAUACAAAUAAAGAGAGAGAGAGAGAGAGAGUUAAAAGUGUUAUUUGUAAUACAAUAGGCAUAGCCAAUGACAUCUGAAAUUCAACCCACAGGAUAAUGAAAGACUGACCAAAGUUUUCUGCAAGCUCCAUGUCAAGUUAUAGAAUGAAUAAUACAAAAGAAAACUGUCAUUAAUGUUGGCUUCAGCUUCUUCCCUGUCUUCCAUGUUAAAUUACUUGACAUAAAGAAAGACAGAGAAAAAGGGUAAUAGGAUACUUAUACAGCAACUGCAAAUAAACAAAGUUCGAGGCUCUGACAAUAAAAUAGCCGUGCAGGAGGCUUCAGCAAAAUGUGGAUGCAUCAGUAGUUUCGCCAUGUUAGCUUAGGGUCCAGAUAGCUGGAUUCACAAAGAAGCCCCAAGUACCAUUAUAAAGAAGGAUCAGCACGAAACAAGUAAUUUGAAAUUAUCAUCCAGAUAAUCUGUCAGAGAAAAUAGCAAUAACUUAUACUGACACAACAGCAUUAUUCUCAUACACAUGUCAAGGCAUUUAAGUGUGUGCAUAGACUCACACAUGCAUACACAUUCAAUGUCAGGGAUGAGCAUAAAAGUGAAUAUCAUUUUUGCUCAAAAUAACGCAAAGGGAUUUGAUAAAAUUAUACGACUUUAGUAACCUAAUUGAAAAACAUACAAGUUAGAGUGCCAACCUUAUUCCAGAAAAUAAAAAAAGAAAGAAAAUGUCAACUUUGUGAGGUUCCUCUCAGUUUCCCCACAGCUAUAAACUCCAAUAUCCUUUCCUUGACAGCAGUUAAUCCCUAAUUGUUUUCAUCAAGAAUCUUAUGAGCACCUACAACAUUGUUGUCUAUCGUUUCUUUUCUACUGGAUGAGUGAACCCCACCUACCUGUGCUGGAUUGCUUGGGUUAGAGGAUGUUUCGCUAAGAUUUUGAGUCCUUUCAACUCCACCUACCUAUGCUGGAUAGCUAUGUAUUCGGGGAUGUUUGACUAAGCUUGCUGUCAAUAUACUAAUGACCUGUCACGUAUACAAUAGUCCCACUAGGCAUUAUCUCCUGUUGGAAUAAGUGUUGAAAACUAGUUGAAAUACAUAUUAUGCCUGGUGCUGCAUUUUCACGGGUCACGAAGUAUGGUUGUUAUUGGUCACUGCUUUAGAGGGGUUAUUGUCUUUCCUGCAUCAUCAAUUACUAAACUUGGAUUUUGUGUUGCAGUAACGAUGGUAAGCACUUGCACAUGUUACAUUUGGACUGAAAAGGACGAAGACAACAAGAGGAUCUAAGGGAAUCAAGCGUAAAGGGAGAGUUUUGAGAAGCAUAAAAGCUCUCUAAAGACAAUUAUAUCCUUCAACAACUAUCAUUGAGUUCUUUCAGUUUGUAAAACAGUUACCGCCUGAUUUUUAAUUUUUACAUGCACAUUCCAAAUUAGGUAUAUUUGCAAUUUCCAGAAAUUCUAGGUUAUAUUCUUUAAAGACCAAGUCAUUACUUUUCUAAUACAAAGCAUUAAGACCAGUUUUGCAGGUGAUCAACAAGUUUACCUAUAAGAGUUCAGAGUCCAACUAGUCUAGAAUAUCUCAAGUCUGUAUGAAGCAUUAUGAUGAUUCUAAAUAAAAAUUGGAAGUUGAUUGUUCGGGUGGAUUUGCUUGAACCUUUGCAAGGCAAAGCACGUUCUUCUCAUCUGCAAUUCUCACGAUUCCACAUUUUCUGUACCUAGGUCAAUACCUGUUCUCAUCUUCUCUUCUCUUCUUAUCUGCAAUUCUCGUGAUUCCACACUUUCUAUAUCUAUGUCAAUACCUCUUCUCAUCUUCUGUUAUCAUCUGCAAUUCUUGUGAUUCCACAUUUUCUGUACCUAUCUCAAUACCGGUACUUAUCUUCUCUUCUCAUCUGCAUUUCUCAUGAUUCCACAUUUUCUGUACCUAUGUCAAUACCUGUUUCCCCUUUUCUUUUUAAAAAAAAUAAAAAAUGAUAAUAAUAAUAAAAAAUAAACCCUUGGGCCGUCGACAGCCAAGAAAUACCAGAACUUUUCAACAUCAUUAUCCAACUUUUUACAAUUCAAGGGAUAAAUCGCUCCACGCAAGAAAGCUUCAGAAGCUUCCAGGGGUUUGCCCAGCCUUGCGACAAAUUAAGCAUGAAAGUUUUUGCUUAGAUCACAGGAAAACUAUUUACAUUCAGGUAAAAUAGCAUUUGGGCGAAAAGAUUGGUACCAUCAAUAUGAUAAAAAGGUCACUAUAUUAAAGAGUUAAAAAACAUCUAAAAUCUAGUUUCUCAACUAUAUCCCAUGAACAACAAUAAUAGAUUCAAAAACUUAACGAGAACAUCUCGAUAGAUUCUUUAUUUUUAACAAGCAUUUUUGUACAUAAUAAAGAGCAUCUUUAAAUUGUAAAAUUUUCAGCAAACUCCAAUAAGCUGUUUAUUUUUGCUCUUUAUUUUACAUUUUCCAACAAUCAUUCAUUUUUUCUCUCCCAGUUUUCACUAAACAUAUAUUCUUAAAUUUCAAUAACCUGAAUAUUCAAAGAUAAAUUAAAUUAUUUAUUUAUUUAAGUAAUGGACUUGGAAACUUGCAAUUUAUUAAAUGUAGUCAUUAUACAAUACAAAUUGAGAGUUAGUUUGACUCCCCCAAAUGUAGAGAGCCUCACUCACUCACUCACUCACUAUUCAAAAAAGUUAAAAUGAAGAGCUUAUUGGAACCCAAUUUCAAGAUUUGGCUCUCUAAAUUAGAAAGCAUCUUAUGUUUAAUGAGUUUAUUGAAGAUGCUUUGAGAAUGCAUCAUAAGAUUCAACACUGACUCAAAAUUUUAGAUGCAAUGGGAGAGGAACAGAAGAAAGGUGCCAAAUAAUGAAAUGUGGACUGUAUUAUGAAUCUGAGAUGAUAAAAACUGCAGACCUGUAUUCACCCCAAGGCAAUGCAGUAAACCAAUCAAGAUAAUUACGUGUCACAUUAAAUUCACUCGAACUAGAUUCCAAUAAUUGCAAAUUUAUCAAUUCUUCUUCUAUGACUUGCAAAACGUGAGGUGCGAGUUUAUCCUUCUUUGGGUAAAGCCUUUCCCUGAACAUUGCAGCAGUAUUUCAGAAACCAAUGCCAAUGAACAAGUUGUCAUCAAUUUAUAAAUAAGAUCCUUGUUUGUGGAGUAAAAGCAGUAAAAAGGCAAAAAUCACUUGAAACUAAAAAGCACAGAUCAAGAUUAGCAACAAAUUUCAACUUAACACAGAUUUUUGGGGAAAAAAAUGACUUUUAUUAUAGUAACCUUUGGAGAAUGUAUGGUUAAAAAAAAAGGAGUAAAAUUAUUUUACUCGGAGAAUGUGCCAUCGAAAAAUGAAUUUGGGAGAAAAAUGAAUUUUUAGAUAAUGGGGUUCAAACGAAGGCAUAAGUUCAUACCUAUCUUCAGCGAGAAAAUAUUAGUCAUGGAUUAAUCAAGAGAAAAAAUUAAUAAUUGACACCGAUUUAAAGCAGAUUUUUAGCAGUAAAGAAAAAUAACAAACUGAUUUUUAAAGCAGAGAUUAUGUUGCUAAUCUUCUCGUACCAGUUACUAGAAAAAAAUUUAUGUUCACAACCUUCUUCUAGCCUAAUGUGUUACAACCCAAUUUUUCUUAGUCAAAAACCAAAAAUUAACUAGUAACAAAGUCAAUUAAGGACUAAAAUAAAAUAAGAUAUUUUAAUGGGGUUUAUUUUAUAAUUGGCAAUAUAUGAGGGUUAAAUUGGAUUCAAUUUAAAGCUUGGAAUUUACUUUUAUAUUAAGGGAAGCUAGAAGGAUUAAAUUUUAUAUUAAAUGGAGUUGAAGGACCUCCCUUGCAAUUUUUAGUUAGUGGGUCUUUAUAUACCUUUGACCCAUUAUUUUUUCUCUCCAAACACACACACACACACACACUAGAGAAAACGUUUUCUGGGUCGAGAAAGACCGAGAGGAAAAGAGAAGGAAAGAAAGAGAGAAAAAUGAAGGGAAGAAGAAGAAGAAGAAGAGUUCAAGCUAGGGUUCUCAACUUCUUCAAUUUCUCUUUUGAUUUAGAAUGGUAAGUAUUAAGUAUAUUGAAUUAAUUUUUUUUAAGGGUUAUGAGAAAUUUGCUUUAAUUCAAAGUUUGGCAAGAAUCAUGUGUUAUUGAUAUGUAUUUGAUGUUAUAAAUAAGGAUAUAGCAAAGAAAUAUUUAUUUGGAUGUUGAUGUUGAAGAAAGCGGAAACUUUGGAAAUGGGUUUGUGAGAUAAAUGCAUAUUCUUUGAAAUUAUUGUGAUUAUAUGAUGCUAAACACUUAAAUUAAGGAUUUGAGUUUGAAAUUCUCCAAAUUUUCAGCCAUUUUCGAGCUAUUGUACUAUAGGUGCUAUUUUUGAAAAUCUGCCCGUAUAAGCACUAUUUCUGUCCAUGCUAUUAUGGGCUCAUUAUAUAGUUGGUAUCUUUAGUAUAUUUGAUUAUUGUUGAGUGUAAAGCAAGUAAAUGUCGAUUUACCAACAUUUUAUUUGAAUAGUUUGCAUUUUGAGGGACUAUCUUAUCCUAUUCAUAUUAUAGGUAUUAAUUUGAAGAAAAUUGAUUAUUGUUCAGGUGAUUUUAGUUUAUAUUUCAGGGAAAACUCUGUCAAAAUUUUGUUAAAAUAUUUCCCAAUCAAAUAAGUCAAGAUUGCCUUGGUGGUGGGUCUAGCGUUCAGCUGGUAACUAUCAUCGGCGCACGACAAGUGUCGAGUCCACUAAGAUGAUUCGGGACGGGUCAUGUCAUAAUGUGAAAUGCACACACACACAAUCCAUGUAUAAACAUAUACAAAUCACUAAUAUAAUAUCACACAUGUUCAUCUCAGCCUAUAAAAUUCCAUCAAGGCAUAUUCGGACAGAUUCCAACCAAAGAAAAGAAGGGUGGUAAAGGAGUAAAAACCAGAGAAACUCAAAGAGAUUUCUUAAUCUUUUAAUUGCAUUCUCUGUGCCACUUGAAAUUCCUUUAUUAUCCAACGUAAAGCAACGGGUGCAAGUCCGACAGUACGCACCCAUCAUGCGACAAUCUGUUUUAGCAAAUGUGUCUGUCUUCUUGCACAUCAAGCAUCUGUGUUCAAGUUAUGAGCAUAGUAUCUUCAAACAUUAUUAUACAUCUGUCCCUUCCCAAGACAAAACAAGGGAACAAGCAAAUCACAAGUGAAAAAUCAUUGAUAACAUAUCAAAUGACAUUGCCAUUCAUCAUAUUCGCAAUAUACCAAAAACAUUAUUAUCAGAAUCAUGCCUAACGUCAGCUGGACCAUUUUUCAGCCUGGCAGCCUUUUCCCUAGAUGCUGAUAGUUAUUUUUAAAGUGUAUGCUGACAUGUUAAUGCCACAAGACCAGAUAAAAAAUGGUAGCAAAUGCCCAAAAAAAAGGCCCGUUUAGUACAUUAUUGUCUAAAGAAAAGAAAAAAUUAGGUACAAAGAAAGAGAAGUAGGCAUCAUAUUGGAAUUGAGAUGACUUGUAUUUCUAGUGAAUCAUCAUUUAGCUAACAGGGAUGCAGCGGAACACCUUUCAAGACUAAAAAGGGACUUGCGAACUAACAUGACAUUUGCCAUAAAAACCUAACUAAAAUGAAAAAAAAAAAUAGUCCAAAUUCAAAAUAAAAAUUUCUGGUAUAAUAAUUCACAUAAAAUAUCUCUUGCUUUAUUCAAUAAUAAUAAUAAUAAAUAAAUAAAGACAGGAAAAAUAAAAGUUCUAUUUUCUUCAAUUUUGGCCUCGAAGCUGAAACCAUUCUGUGUUUAAGAAAAAUAGGUAUUUAAACAUAGGUAUAUUCCUAUCACCAUAGAUUCUAAAAGGAGAAAACAGAACAAUAGAUAGUUACGAAAGGCUCGAUAUUAUGCACCCAACAAUUGUAAAUCAUGAGGCAUCCAACUAGACAUCAUGAAUUAGUACUGCCAAGCACUCAGUAGGUUCAAAUGUUUGAGGUAUAAUGCAAGUACUAACACAGCUCUUGCAUCACAACAAAGCAACAAAGAUACAAGGCAGAACACCAACUGUAAGUUAUGCAGAAGAAGGCAUACCAAAAACAGUGGUUUUGUCGUCAGUCUCUAAUCCUAAUUCCUGCACAAUGCAAAUAAAUUUGUUAUUAGAUAAUUCCCAAAUCAUCUCAUGACAUCUAAACUAUUCAAACAGACAUACAGCAAGAACAGAGUCUUCAAUAACUCUUAGAAAAUGUAUAUUAUAAAGUAAGCAAAUCAUAAUGCUAAAGUAACAUGCUUUCUUUAUGACCUUCAGUUGCCAUUCAACAAGUAUCGUCGCUGCUCUCCACUUUUCUUCAAUUGCCUUUGCUAUUGAUUCCUAAGUACUGCCAAAAAGUAGUGAAGAUUAAAUGAAUAGGGAACAGCAAUUGAGAGUGCCAGAAUUGAUCUCUAGUCCAGACAGAUAUACCUGGAUCUUACUAAUCUCCAUCUCCUCCUUCACUAACUCCAGAGUAAGUUUUAGUCGAUGAUGAACUUGAAUUUCAAGAUCGUGACGAGCAUCAGAAAUAUGGAAGGUAGAAACUUUGACGGGGAUAAUACAGUCUUAUUACAAGAAAGCAACAACCCCUUAGCUCCAGGCCCAAAGUGUGGGGACAAAAUGAAUGUCCUUAUUGUCCUAUUGUCAAAUAUUAUCGAAGAAUGAAAUAAAACAUCUUUGUCCGGAGCACCUUGAACAAGCAACUCAAGAUAAAAUAAUAACUAAUUCCAUAACAGGGCAAAAUUUAUAUUGUAGCUUUCCUUUAUAUGGUACAAAAUUUUCUAGCUUUCUACCAUUUCAAAUUAGGAAAUUCAUCAAGGGGCAAGGGAUAAGGGAUGCAUUUAAGUUGAUAACAAAUCUCAAAAAAUAGAUUAUUUAAUCUUGUAGCGAUUCCGAGAUCUUAUAAGACUACGAGAUGCUGAAAACCCACAGGUGGGUGAUGCUAAGACCAAAAGUUACAAUGUUACUCUUCUAGGUAGAAUUGGAGGCAGAUUCUAGAAAAACUAGAAGCUUCAUUCUCAGAAAAAUGUUGUCGAUAAGGCUGUAGACUACUUACAUCUAGUUCUUCAAGAACUUGCUGGCACUGUGAUUUGUUUGCGCCUGAUAUUGCAGCUCCAAAAUUUGCUAAUCUUGGAUAAAAUCACAUAUAUGCUGCAGAUAUUGAGAAGUGAAGAGGUAGCAUAGAUACUACAUGUAGACAAAACCAAUUGAAAAACUUCAACUUAAUUGUGAUAUUGUCAUGUUCAAUUUAGGCGAUAGAUUCCUUUGUUAAGUAAAAGUACAACAUUCUUGUGAUAAAAGGGAUGUUACACUGUCCUUCCAAAGUACAAAAAAUGCAAUUAUUUAUGCAUGAAAUUAGUGAAUCAAAUAUCUUAAAAUAAAAAAAUCUUUCAUGAGCACAAUCAUGGACUAUCUUUCGAACAGCAGUUAGUAUCAUACAUGACCUCAGACCUCAUAAACAGCAAAAGAAAGGAAUCAAAUAGUUGAUAAGAAUAAUUUGCAAAUAUAUAAUAGGAAAAGCAUGGAAAUAUUCUUCUUGAGGUGUAUAAAUAAGUAGAAAAAAUAUUUGUGAGGUAAUUAAAGGAGAUGAAAAUAUAAAGAAACGAGCAGAACUUUAUACCUACAAAAAUCAUGAAUGAAGAAAGAGUCAUACAAACCAUCUCUGUCAUUCGAAGUCGCCUGUGACCAAUAAGAACCACCUGAUCUCCUUGGAUGCUUGUAAUCUAAAAUCAUUAAGCCAGCUUGAUGAAUCAAAGAAGUUUUUUACCACAGAUAUAUAACUUCAACAAUAACUUAACGAAACUAAACGAAAGAGAAUUACCCGAGCUAGCGUACCACCUUCAUGGAGGCGAUUAAAUAACUCUUUUCCUUUGAGAUCGUAUAUAUUUUCCUCAUCUAUACCAUCAGUUACUGCCUCAUCUUUAAGUAGGAAAGCACCAGCAUAAGGGCCUUGCGGUUUUCUACUCUCUACUAAAGCUUCUAGCAAUCCUACAGAAAAAUGGUAUGUACAAGAAGGGUCACAGACCAGCUCACUAGUUACUAAGAAUAUUAGUAGAGUUUAUUUUACCUUCAUCUUAUAUAAGAUAUAAAAACACCAUUUAGGAAAAAAAAGGCUUUCAAUUUUUCACCACUUCUUUCUUGUAUCAAAAGAAAUUCUAUAAUUUAGACAAGCACUAUUUGUAAAAAGCUAAAGUAAGCAGAUAGGAUAUAAAAGACAAAUUACAGAGAGCAAGCCAUGUUGCUUGAACUCGGGUGUGGGUGUCCGAUGCAUAUCUAGGAGUCAGAUUUUUUCUCUCUAAAAUCUAGGAUACGAAAUAGAGCUAAAAAAAUUCAAAAUUUAGACAUGAGCAUGUGGAUAUGUCUUAUAUUGCAUAUUUAACCGUAAAUCUAAAAUAAAUUAAAUUGCAAGUUGUGAUACUUCUUUUGAAAUUUCAUUUCAAGUCUAGAAAUGUAAAAUACAAACUAGAAAUCUUUAUAAAUACAAUACCAAAUUAACAAAAAUGAUAUAAAGGACACUCUUUUGCUUUAAAGGAUCCGAGAAGGAUCCCUUGUCAUGUGUGUCCAAUAUAGGCAAUUCCUCUCAAAUGGAGAGUCCAAAUAAGCGUGUUCAGAAUUUAAUGACAAAAAAAUCAUAGCAUGAUUACAUAAAGAAUGGUGCACACAAGGUAUCCCUUGAAAUACUAUGAAAUUAUAUAUUAGUAAAUUAUCAGUACAUCCAUCAGAACUUGAACUUACAAGAAUUGUGCACACCAGGUAUCCCUUGAAAUACUAUGAAAUUAUAUAUUAGUAAAUUAUCAGUACAUCCAUCAGAAUCUGAACUUACAAGAAUUGCCUUGUAAAUCUGAUGCUAGUUAAUCAAUAAAGUUAUGGCACAGAGAAGUAAUAUUGAAUACGAGAUGUUAAAAACAAAAUAUCAAAUGAAGUACUCAACCAUAAGUAGCCAUACCUUCACAUAAAUAGGCACAUAAAAUCCAGGAAUAAUGGUCUAUGUGGCAGAGGUAAUGCUAUAACCUGCACAAGUAAAAGAAAUCUCGAUUAUUAAAUAUCUUUAAAAAUAAGAUGGAACAACAAAUACCAACUAAUCUCUUAACAUAAUCUAAUGAUUUUCAUCCUUUCUAAUAUAUAAUUCAAUAACAGAAAAUCUGAUACAAAUGAAGAUAUUUGCUUCUUGUUUGGGACCCCGCAGCAUUUUGAUAAGCCUCCCAUACGGGUCACUUAUCAACGACGUCACAAGAAGAGCAUGAAAAGAAGUUAGAAGGAAUAUUAGUUGUUAGAUCUAUUAAGUCAUGUGGUUACGAGUCUAUAAAUAGUGUAGGCAAAGGCUGAAAUAGGCAUUCAAAAAAGAGGGAAAAUCUGAAUCACUUAGGAGAGUGGCAGCUCUCGAAACCAGCCUUGUUAUUUUCUUAAUCCAUUCCUUGUUCAAUUUCAUUCAGUUAAAUAAAAUUCUUAUUCUAAUUCUGAUUGUGUGUUUGAUCAGUCCAGAGUUUCGUUGUAAUUGGGCCAGUUAUUCAUCGGGUUGUCAGCAGGUUCUAACAUUUUGGUAUUAGAGCACUUGAGAUUCUGGGAAAUGAAUGCCGGUUACAAGGAUGGACCAUCGAAUUGAAGCAUUAGAGGAUGCGGUAGAACAGAUUCCACCAUUGGGUAAUUCCAUGGUUGAAUUGAAAGGAGACUUGGAGCACUUGAACGCAAGGCUGGGGAUGGAGCUGGGCAAAUUGAAUGAUAAGAUCGAAGCAAGUCUAGCAAUGAGCCGGAAGGAAUUAAACGAGGACCUUCAGAUAUCGGCGAAGGGGAUACCACAGGAAUCCACCAGCGUGACUGAAGCAGGUAGUGAAAUGAAGUCUACUGCCUCUAUCACUAAAAUUACCGGAUCGGAACCCAGAGCCACUGAGAAUACAAUCGUUUCUGUUGCUGAAGAUAACUUUCGAAAACUGGAGCUACCGCUAUUUAAUGGGGUCGAUCCGGACUCCUGGAUAUUCCGCGCUGAGAGGUAUUUCAGCAUAAACAAGUUAUCGGACACCGAGAAGGUGAUGGCAGCUGGGGUGUGUAUGUAAGGAAGUGCCCUAUCCUGGUUUCAAUGGGAAGAUGGAAGGCGGCCUAUACGCAGUUGGGUGGAGCUUAAACAGAGGCUAUUAGAGAGGUUCCGUGAUACCCAGUAUGGAACCCCACACCAACGGUUCCUUAUGAUCAGACAGACAGGAACUGUUGCAGAGUAUAGGGAAAAGUUUGAAGUAAUGUUUGCUCCCCUGAUGAAUGUAAGUGAGGACACACUAGAAGGAGUCUUCAUUAAUGGGCUGGAAGAAGAAGUGCAGGCAGAAGUAUUGAUGGUGAGACCGGCAGGACUUUCACAAAUCAUAGAUAUGGCACAACGAGUGGAGGGUAGGAACAAUUGGAUCAACAAGGCGAAGGAGCGAGAACGCCCACAAAUUCGGGGUGUAACUGCUCUGAUUCCAACUAGGGCUGAAAAUCGGACAAUUCCUUGGGGCUUGAGUAAGGGAACCAUUGUACAGGACAAAGGUGGAGGAAUGGGUUCAGGAAGCUCUACUGUAGGGUUCAAAAGACUAACCCAGGUUGAGAUUCAAGCAAAAAAGGACAAGGGCUUAUGUUCUCGAUGCGACGAAAAGUUUCAUGUUGGGCAUAAGUGUUGCAAUAGGAAACUACAAGUGCUGUUGGUGGAUGAAGAGGAGCAAAACGGGGCAGGAGGGGAGUGUUACCUCUCCUAAGACUAUGAAGGUGAGAGGAACGAUGGAAGGGUAGGAUGUAGUUGUACUAAUUGAUUCCGGGGUUACGCACAACUUCAUGUCAUGGGAAUUAAUUAAGAAACUCAAUCUGUCAAUAACGGAGACCAGUAGAUAUAGGGUACAAGUGGGAACUGGUAUGGCAAUUAAAGGAGAAGGGAAAUGUAGGGGAGUGGCAUUAUACAUGCAGUCCAUAUUAGUGGUGGAGGAUUACUUACCGAUAGACCUGGGAAGCUCGGACAUAAUACUUGGAAUGCAGUAGCUUAGCACCUUGGGCAAGGGUUCAAGUUAACUGGAAGUCAUUGGAGAUGAGAAUUCCUCUGGGAAAUAGCACUAUCACUCUGAAAGGAGAAGGGUUGAGCAAAUCAUUGGUCUCACUAAAAUCAAUGAUCAAAACCUUACAUAAGGAGAGAGAAGGGAUUGUAAUGGAGCUGUGCUCGGUUCAAGUGGAUGAGCAACCUGUUGAAUUGGAUAUUCCACUGCCGGUGCAGGAGUUGAUAGUGAAGUAUAGGGCGGUAUUUGAAUCACCAGUAGGGUUGCCUCCUCUCAGAGGUCAUGAGCAUGCAAUCACUCUGAAGGAAGGAAGUGAACCCAUUAGUGUAAGACGCUACAGAUACCCCUAUGCACAAAAGGCUGAGAUUGAGAAACUAGUAACUCAAAUGCUGAAGGCAGGAAUAAUUCAAGCAAGUAGUAGUCCUUUUUCUAGUCCGAUACUGUUAGUGAAGAAAAAGGAUGGGGAUGGAGAUUUUGUGUAGAUUAUCGGGCCUUAAAUCGAGCUACCAUACCUGAUCGCUUCCCAAUUUCGGUUAUUGACGAGUUGUUAGAUGAACUCAUGGCACCACCAUCUUUUCCAAACUGGAUUUGAAAUUAGGGUAUCAUCAAAUACACCUUAAGGCUGGAGAUGAAUACAAAUCUGCCUUUCGAACUCACGAGGGGCAUUACGAAUUUUUCGUAAUGUCGUUUGGGCUUACUAAUGCCCCAGCAACAUUCCAAUCUUUGAUGAAUAAACUAUUCAAGGGGCUACUAAGGAAAUGUGUAUUAGUUUUCUUUAAUGACAUCCUAGUCUACAGUCGGCACAUUGGAGGAACAUUGUGAACAUUUAAGGAUGGUAUUUGAUGUCUUACAGGAGCGGCAAUUGUAUGCAAAUCGAAAGAAAUGUGAGUUUGGAUGCACUACCUUGGAAUACAUGGGGCACUUAAUUAGGUCGCAAGGAGUGUCAGCUAACCAAAAGAAAAUUCAGGUCAUGCAGUCACGGCCGUUACCCAAGGACCUGAAAGAAUUAAGGGGGUUCUUGGGGUUAACGGGAUAUUACCGAAGAUUUGUGGAAGGAUAUGGACAAAUAGUUGAACCACUCACCAGACAUCUGAACAAAGAUAGCUUCCACUAGGAUCAAGAAGCUAAUAUAGCCUUUCAGAAGUUGAAGAAUGCCAUCACAGAAGUUCCAGUUUUGGCACUGCCCAAUUUUCCUAGGCGGCCACUCAGGGGUACUAAAGUCAUAUAAAAGGUUGUCCAAGGAGCUAUUUUGGACAGGGAUGAAAAAAGAUAUUCAGAAAUUCGUAGAGGCCUACUUGGUUUGCCAGCAAAACAAAUAUUUAGCUGUCACCAGCUGGGCUAUUACAACCUUUACCUAUACCAGAAGCAAUAUGGGAGGACAUAACUAUGGAUUUUAUAAAAGGAUUGCCGAAGUCUCGAGGUUGGGACACAGUGUUGGUUGUGGUGGAUAGGUUGAGUAAAUAUGCUCAUUUUUUGACAUUGAAGCAUCCUUUUACUGCUAAGACGGUAGCCGAAUCAUUUAUUCGAGGAGUGGUUAGACUUCAUGGAUUUUUCCACUCAAUAGUAACGGACAGGGAAAAGGUUUUUCUCAGUUUGCCUGGUCCAAACUUUUUGUCUCCAAGGUACUAAACUGAAUCGAAGCACGGCCUAUCACCCCCAAACUGAUUCCGGUCAAUCAUUGUUUGGAGACCUACCUAAGAUGCUUCGCUAACAGCCAUCCCCGUUCAUGGUCUGAUUGGAUUCCUUAGGCAGAGUUCUAGUAUAACUCCUCGUUUCACACAUCCACUAAAACUACUCCGUUUAAGGCUGUUUAUGGGAGGGAUUCUCCUUCUGUCAUACGUUAUAGAUCACAACACACACCUUUGGCUGAUCUUGACCGAAAAUUACAACAACGUGAUGAGAUGAUUGGCAUCUUGAAGUCCCAACUAGAAAGGGCUCAUUCCAGAAUGAAGAAGGUAGCAGAUAGUGGGAGAAGAGCAGUUCAAUUUCAAGAAGGCGAUUUGGUUUAUCUGAAACUCCAGCCAUACAGGCAGAAGUCCUUGGCUAAACGUGCUAAUGAAAAAUUAUCUCCAGAUUCUUUGGUCCUUAUACCGUCAUCCAGAAGGUAGGGGCAGUGGCUUACAAACUCCAACUACCAGCAGAGUCCAAUAUACAUCCGGUGUACCAUGUCUACAGUUGAGGAAGGCAGUGGCCUCUACUACCUCAGUCUAACCCCUUCCCGCACUUCUCAAUCCAGAAUUAGAGUGGAAGGCACAACCAGCAAAAGUGUUGGGGAUUAGGCCAGCAAGUGAGCUGGGUAAUGAAAUGCCAGAAGUACCGAUUCAAUGGCAGGACCUUCCCCCUUUUGAAGCAUCAUGGAAACCCUUUGAGCUCAACAACUCUCAAUUUUCGGAAUUCCACCUUGGGGACGAGGUGCUUGCUUUAGCGGGGGGUAUUGAUAAGCCUCCCAUAUAGGUCAAUUAUCAACGACGUCACAAGAAGAGCAUGGAAGGAAGUUAGAAGGAAUAUUAGUUGUUAGAUCUGUUGAGUCAUGUGGUUACGAGUCUAUAAAUAGUGUAGGCAAAGGCUGAAAUAGGCAUUCAGAAAAGAGGGAAAAUCUGAAUCACUUAGGAGAGGGACAGCUCUCGAAACCUGCCUUGUUAUUUUCUUAAUCCAUUCCUUGUUCAAUUUCAUUCAGUUAAAUAAAAUUCUUAUUCUAAUCCCGAUUGUGUGUGUGAUCAAAUAUCUUAAAACAAAAAAUCUUUCAUGAGCAUGAUCAUGGCCUAUCUUUAAAAAGGAUUCGCAGUUAGUAUCAUAUAUGACCUCAGAUCUCAUAACACAGCAAAAGAAAGGAAUUAAAUAGUUGAUAAUCAGUUAUGUGCAUUCAGGCAUACAAGUGCAUUUUAGGCAUGUACACCAAAAAGUUCAAUUGUAUUAGGAAGGUGAUGUGUAAAACAUCUGCAUAACUUCAUUCCAAUUAACAUAGUUUGGAAGCAUUCAAAAACAAAGGCUGGAGAAUUGAGCUAGUACAACACCUCAAUGUGAUUCAAAGUAGUGAUUCUGUCACUAGAAUAGACCUUUUAUAUCAAAUUUAAACAAAUAUAAGCGUGUGCAUUCAUACAAGUGCAAAUUUUUUACUGUGUUAUUCUGCAUACAGAAAAAGAAAAGAAAAAAAAUCAGAAAAAGGAAAAAUUAUACCUGAGUACAAGUUUGUACAUGAUCGCGCCAAAGAGAAAUAGUUUUCAAAACAUCUCUAAAAGAUGAUAUAACUUCAAAUGACGUUGCCUUAGAAACAUUGUCAUCCUUAUCAUAAGGCUUUUCCUAAAAGAUAUGAGAACAGAAGUCCUCAGAAGUUCAUUUUACAAAUUUGGAUUAUUAUAUGAACUAUUCACACGAGAGAUCUGCACACACCUUGAGAUGAUCGACCUUGACCAUAAGAGGAUUCUCACUAACCUGCACAAGACAAUUAUUUCAGUUGUGCAUCUAUAGCACAGAGAUGGAUAAAGCUAUUAAUUUGCGAAAAUAUACCAACAACAUGGAAAAAUUCUGCUUGAGGUGCAUAAAUAAGUAGAAAAUAUAUUUGUAAGGUAAUUAAAGGAGAUGAAAAUAUAAAUAAACAAGAGAAGAACUUUAAAUCUACAAAAUCAUGAAUGAAGAAAGAUCCUACAAACCAUCUCAGUUAUUCAAAGUUGUCGGUGACCAAUAAGAACCAACUGAUCCCCUUGGAUGCCUGUAAUCUGAGAUCAUCAAGCUCGCUUGAUGAAUCAAAGAAGUUUUUUACCACGGAUAUAUAACUUCAAACAAUAACUUAACAAAGAUAAAAGAACGAGAAUUACUGAGCUAGCGUACCAACUUCGUGGAGAAGAUUAAAUAACUCUUUUCCUUUGAGAUCGUACAUAUUUUUCUCAUCUGUAUUCUCAGCUACUGCCUCAUCUUUAAGUAGGAAAGCACCAACAUAAGGUGCUUACCAUUUUCUACUCUCUACUAAGGCUUCUAACAACUUUGGGUCCUGCAGAAAAGGGUAUGUACAGAAGGAUAGGCAGAUCAGCUCUCUUCUAGUUACUAAGAACACGAGCAAAGUUUAUCUUACCUUCAUCUUAUAUAGAAAAACCAUUUAAAAAAUAAUAAUAAGAUAAAAGCUUUCAACUUUUCACUUCUUUCAUUUAUCAAAAGAAAUUCUAAAAUUCCAACAAGAACUAUUUGUAAAAAGUUAAAAGCUAAAGCAAGCAGAUAGGAUAUAAAAGACAAAUUACAGAGAGUAAUCCAUGUUCCUUGGACUCGGGUGUGGUGUCCGAUACAUAUCGAGGAAUCCGAUCAUUUUUCUCUCUCUAAAAUCUAGGAUACGAGAUUCAGCUAAAAAAAGAUCCAAAAUUUAGACACGGGCACAUGGAUUCAUCUUAUGAUGUAUAUUUAACCAUAAAUCUAUGAUAAAUUAAAUUGCAGGUUGUGAUUCUUUUUUUGAAAUUUCAUUUCAACUCUAGAAAUGUGAAAUACAAACUAGAAAUCGUUUUAAAUACAAUACCAAAUUAACAAAAAUGAUAUAAAGGACCCUCUUUUAUUUUAAGGGAUCCAAGAAGGAUAUCUUGUCGUGCAUGUCCGAUACACGUAAGAACUUCUAAAAUUCCAACAAGUACUAUUUGUAAAAAGUUAAAAGCUAAAGCAAGCAGAUAGGAUAUAAAAGACAAAUUACAGAGAGCAAUCCAUAUUGCUUGGACUCGGGUGUGGUAUCCGAUACAUAUCUAGGAGUCCAAUCAUUUUUCUCUCUCUAAAAUCUAGGAUACGAGAUACAGCUAAAAAAAAAUGAUUCAAAAUUUAGACACGAACAAUUCCUUGCGAUCAGACAGACAGGAACUGUUGCAGAGUAUAGGGAAAAGUUUGAAGUAGUGUCUGCUCCCCUUGCUCCCCUGAUGAAUGUAAGUGAGGACACACUAGAAGGAGUCUUCAUUAAUGGGCUAGAAGAAGAAGUGCAGGCAGAGGUAUUGAUGGUGAGACCGGCAGGACUUUCACAAAUCAUAGAUAUGGCACAACGAGUGGAGGAUAGGAACAAUUGGAUCAACAAGGCGAAGGAGCGAGAACGCCCACAAAUCCGGGGUGUAACUGCUCUGAUUCCAACUAGGGCUGAAAAUCGGACAAUUCCUUGGGGCUCGAGUAAGGGAACCAUUGUACAGGACAAAGGUGGAGGAAUGGGUUCGGGAAGCUCUACUGUAGGGUUCAAAAGACUAAACCAGGUUGAGAUUCAAGCAAAAAAGGACAAGGGCUUAUGUUCUCGAUGCGACGAAAAGUUUCAUGUUGGGCAUAAGUGCCGCAAUAGGAAACUACAAGUGCUGUUGGUGGACGAAGAGGAGCAAAACAGGGCAGGAGGGGAGUGUUCCGAAGAGAUGACUGAUUGUAACGAGCUGGAGGGUGUAGAGUUAUCAAUGAAUUCUGUGGUUAGGAUAAUUAAAGAAUUUUGUACUUGUUAUUCAAUUCUUUGAAAUUUAAUUUCUUCUUUGAGAAAUUAAAUGUGCUCUUUCUUGAAAUUAAUGUUGUUAAUAAUUUUUGAAACAAAUUCUUGUUUCAAAGAAUUAACAUCCUUAUAAAAUGGAGGAUUUGUGUAUUUGAAAAAUAUUUCUGACCAAAGAUGCUGGUUGUUGAACCUUUUGAGUCUACUUGAAAAGGAUAAAUUGAAACAAUGAAAGGAGUACAAAGUAUGACUUCUUAGUUUAAAUCUUUGACUAAAUAGAAGAUAUUUUUGAAACAAAUAUUGGAAUUACAAACAUGUGCCUUUGAAAGUUUGUAUUGAAAGUUGAGUUUUUCACCACUAACACCAUAAAAAAAUGCUCAGUAGCUUUUUAAAAAUAUUUUACGGGGCACCAGAAUCAGUUAAAACCAUGGAGGAGAAUUUGAAUUCUUUAUUGAUCACAAUGGUCAUAGUGCAGUACCACUUUUGAAGUUGAAUACUGCCACAUGACUUAUGCAGUGUGAUUUUACACUGCAAGUGCAGUGUAAAAUUUUAUAAUAUAGCUUUGAAAUACGAGUGUCGAACCCUCAGGGAUUGAUAUUUGAAUCUCAUCAAGUACUAUAAUUAUUUUAACUUUCACUUUAUUUAGACAAUCGAUUUUUGAAAUGAUGUUUUAUUGCUAAAUUAAAAUAAAUGGGAUGAACAAUGCAAAGUGAACAAGGGUAAUUUGUAAAGUUUCUUAUCAAAUUAUGAAUGCCUAGAUAGUGAUUUCAUCAUACUAUCGACAAUGUUUUUCAACCAUUAUAACUAUUUCUAUCAAUCGUUCCAAAAUUUAUAGGCAAUAACACUAAAUUGAUUACAUUUCCCUCUCUCGAGCGCCAAAAGGAAUCUAUUUCUAUAUUUUAAUUUCAAUAUCUCGAUUUCGAACUAAAACAUAAAAAUCAUCAAGCACGUGGUUCUUAAUUGAAAUAAGCCUUAAAGAUUUAGCAUUUUCUCUCAAAACUUGCAAAAUCUAGGUUAUGUUAUCUUAGAUCACGACUAAAUUUCUCUCUCUCGAGUGCCAAAAUUUAAAGCAUCAAAUCAUUCAAUUAGUGACCAGUUAAUUGAAAGGAUUGCGCAAGAAUCGACAUAAAUAAAUAAGCAGAAAUAUUAAAUGUUAUAAUUAUAUCGAAAUCAAAACAUGUCUACAUAGGUUACAUCAAACCCUACAAUUAAUGUUUAGUUUAUGAAGAAAGAAUUAAAUCUAAACAAAUUGAUGAUUAACAUAAAGAGGGGAAAAAAACUCUUUUGAAGCUUUUAAUUGGAGUUCCCCUUGAUGUUCUUCAUGCAUCCUUGUCCUUGAUGAAUUGUUUGUUGCAUUGUCUUCAAUCUUGCCCUUCAAUUGUUGUGUUUGGCCCCUUCAAUUCUUCUCAAAAAUAGGGUUUUUUGAAUGGCAUUUAUAGUAUGUUAGGGUCUUGGACGAAUUAGGGUUGAAAUGGGCCAAGAAAAAAGUCAAAAAAUAUUUAAAAAAAAAGAAGCAUUUUCCCGCAUAUCCAGCACCUCAGAACCCAAGAUAGGUGCCGAGGUACCGGGCUUGCUAUUAUUUUCAAUGAGUUGGGCACUGCAGUGCCCAAAUUGAGGCGUCCGAUUGGGUUGAAAACGACAGAUUGCGCGUAUUUAAGUACUUAUAGCAUAACUUUCUUCUACAAUAUUCGAUUAAGGUGAUUCAAGAUGCGUUAGAAAGCUAACUCCAAGGGCUACAGCUUUACUUCAGACAUUGUUCUCCAAUUCGAUUGUUUACUAUGUCAAAAAUCGGUCUCAAUGUGAGGCUGAAAUUUAAGAGCAUAACUUUUCGAUUGAAAAUUGAUUUGUGGCCAUAUUUUGCCUUAAUUUGAUCCCUUUGACAUCUUUCUUCAUCCAAUUGACUCCUAAUACUCUCUGAUCUUUAUCGUGAGGUUCGACACAACUUUUAAAUAUUUACACUUUAGUCCCCAAACUUUGGAUCUCUUACAAUUUAGCAUUUUCUCCAACUUAGCCAACUUUUGCUUAUUUCAUUUAAUUUCAUCAACCUAUAUCACAACAUCAAAACACACAUUAUAACGUUCUAAAACACUCUCAAUGGCAACAAAAUAAUGAAUUAAGUGGUACGAAUAUAAUGAGUAUGGAGCACUCAUCAAAUACGAUUGAUAACCUUAAUUUUUUUCUUAUUCUAUAUGAGAGGCUUCAGGAGAGGUGUGAAAAGUUUCUUCUUCUAAAGAAUCAUUAUUGGAAUGUCUUCUUGUUUUAUAUUUUUAGGGGGUGUUUGAUAGCUAUUUUUAUGUAAAAAUGCAUUUUAGAAUAGUAAAUUGAUGUGAAAUGUAUGGUUGAGAAAUAAGGAAAAGUUUUUUAUUUACGUGUAAUAUUAUUUUAUUAAAGAAUGUGUAGUUGAAAAGAAGAGAGAGAAAAAUGCAUUUUGAAAAAAAUGGCUACCAAAACGGGGCCUUAGUUUUCGGAGAAUAACUUUUAUACGGACAUCUUUCAUUUGACGUUCAAGAACAACAAUUUGAGAUUUCCUCGCCUUAAUUUCUAAUUUUAAUUCAGAACUAGAAGAUUUUGAAGAUGUGGAUUCAGUAUUGAGCAUAUUUAAUAUACCCUUUAUAUUAAAUGGUGUUGCCGACAUUUUGGAAGUAGAAGGUAGAAGAAGAGAGAAUUUCUUCUUUAAUUGAGGAUCUUCUAUUUUCUCAAUUAUUUCUUGAAUAAGUUCUUCUUCUUUGGUAAGGAUAUUUAUGGUUUUACAACCACUAACUUCCUUAGCUUGACUUGAAGUAGAAAAAGGGGAACUUGAGCUGGUCUCAACGCCACAGUCUUCCUGAUGCAUGUAAACUUGCUUGAGUUCAAAAUUAGAAUCUUCACCUAAACUAGAAUUGAGUAGAUUAAGAAGUUCAAAUUUAAUAUCUUCUUCUAUUUGAAGAUUAUUAAUCUUUCCCUUCAUAGGACAUUUAUUUGAUCAACAACUAUUUGUUUGCACUUCCAACAGGUAAUGUUUGAAGUUUUAGGAAUUAUUUUCCUUGAAAAAUUUCUUUUUGAAUAUUUGGGAGGAUAAGAUUGAGAAAUAUUUUGUAUUUGAAAAGAUCAUUUUCUUAAAAAGUAAGGAAAACUUUUCUUUUACAAUCUUGAAGAAGGGGGAACAUUUUUUCCAAACCAUAUUGAUCAUCGGAUGAUCCAAGUUCUUUUUGACUCUCAGUUCUUUCUGACUUUAACUUUGCCUUGAGUUUGAGAUCUCGCCAUAAGCAAGGAAAGAACAAGGAAUAGGAUCAUUAUGGUGAAGUCUGAUGGAAUUAUGCACUCUUUCAACAAAAUGUUUAGGAAGUCCAGAAAUAAUCUUUCUUUCCAAAAAGAUUGAUUACAAUCUUCAUGAAAUAAAACUCUAGUAGGAAACAUAUCCUUAUACCAUUGAAAAUCAUCAAGUUUAGGAUAAGUGAGAUUUAAGAAAUGUCCUAUCUUGAAGGAGAUCUUGAGUUCCAAUAAAAUGUUUGAGAACGGAAAAGACAAGUCUAUUGAAACUAUCAUUACGAAGUUGUUCAUUGGAAGCUUUAGUAAUAGUGUCGCGAUCUUCGACAAUAAGAUAGUUAUUCCAUGGCUUUUAAGCUCACAAACUAAAUUAUUGAAGGUAGUAAUAGGAGAUAUAUUUCGACAUAUAUAAGCUGUGUAACACACGGCCAUAUGUUAAAGCAAUUGUAAUAUUUGAUAUUCUGUCCAUCCGUCAAGAUUUCAUUAGACGAUCUCACCAUCCGAUAGGAAACUUUUGAUUAUUUCUUUUCCUCUUAUGACAUAUCAGAAUAUGAAGAACGAGAAUAAAAAUUUGGAAGUUUCGAUUUUGGCCUUUCAAUUUAUUGAAAUGAGAUGGUUUAUUUUCAAUAAAUUGCGCUUCAAGUUCUUCUAAAAUAUCAACGGUAUUGAUUUUGUUAUAUGUUUCUAAUUUGGAUAUUUGGUUAGCGAGUUCUUAUAAAAAAUUUAUGUAGGCAAAGAGUCUUUUCUUUAGUUUAGGAGUUAAUUUUGAAUUAAUGGAUUUAAAAUUGUAUUAAGAGGUAUUUUCUCAUUUUUCUUGGAUGAGGAGGCUUCGGAAUCAGAAUUGGCUUUAAUCCUAGAUAAUUUAGAACACAAUGACUGGAGAACAAUAUUUGUAUAAUUGUUCUGUGUUAAAUAUUUUUUAUAUUUCUGGUUUAGUGCUAGAUUCUUGGGGUCUAUCAGUAGGAACUUGCUUGAUAUGUGAUGCAAUAAUAUCAGUGUUUCCAUAAGAAACAACUAUUUCUUGCAUUGACGGAUCUUCAGAUUGAAAAUUUUGUCCAGAAGGAGUUUUUCAAGUUUUUUUUUUUUUUUUUUUUUAUUAACAUGAGUAUUUUGAAAUAGAUGUAGUUUUAGCAAUCUUCUUGCCAGAAACUUUAAAGUGUGCUCAAUCAUAAAACUUAAAUCUUUAGGAGAAUUAUAAAAUUCUUACCAUAAAAAUUUGAUCUCAAUUUAACAUUUGUUUAAGAGAAAAUUUUGACAGAAGGAGUUUUAUCAAUUUUGAACUCAGUUUUUCUAUUAAUUAUAGAAGUAAUUACAUUACACUGUCUAUCCAAUCGUUCAUAUGGACUAGAUAGCAUAUCUGACAACUCAAGCAAAUCAAGCUGUUCUAAUUUGAUAUCCCUAUUAGUUAUAUAUUGAGUUUUUGGAAUAGUCAUUGUAAAAUCGACUACUUUUCAUUUAUCAAAAGAAAUUGAAAUUCUUGAUGAUUGAAAAGGAUUUUUAGAUCUUGUCUCAGAUCUAGAAGAGUAGGACCUUGGAAGAUUAUUUGAUGAUGAUUUUUCAUUAAAAAUCAUCUGGACUUGUGUAUUUGGGAAGGAAAAAAUUUGAUUAAGAACUGUUCAAACAGGUGUAAGAAUUGGGUUUUGAGCAUUUUCAAAAUCUCAUUCAAGUCCUCUAGAUUAAGAUUUCAAGGUAUUCUUUUUUUUGGAAUUAUGGUACUAGAAUGAAGAGAAUCAUCGUCCAUCAGAAGACUUUCAUCUAUAAGAGAUGAGCGAAGAGCUCAAAUAUUGAGUUGAGUGUUCAUAAAUUUUUAAUAUACACGAUAUAUUAUAGCAAAUGCUUUGGAAAGAUCGUCAUAAUUAAGAUUUUUUGUUUGAAUUUGAAUAGAUGCUCAGAUUUUUAACUAGCUGCCUGAUAAGGAAAAACGUGAAAAAAUAUAUGAGUUGAUAGCUCAGUGAGUGAAGAAAUUCAAAAUAAAUAUACUUUUUCAUUUAUAUAUUUUUAUUGAAAAUCAAAUCCAUAUCAUUUGAUAAUUCACAAGCUACCAUCAUGUAAUCAUAGUCAAAAAGUAAAAUAUUCACAUAAGGUCAUAAAAAUAUCAUCUUAAAAUCACGAUAUAAUAUCAGCUGAUAACCAUGUUAUAAUCUUAUCAUAUCAAACGUGCUGAAAAAUUCACCAAAAAUGUACCCUCUGACUGAAAUAUAUAAUCCGCCCCUCGGGUUAAGAACUUUCGCCAUCCCUCCGUGAACGAAAGUCGGUCUCCAAGCCUCUCAUAAUCAAUUCUAGAACACGGUCAAGGUCGCUCUGUGAACUAUAUGUACACGAUCAAGACCAAUGUCGGGUCAAGACCCUCCGUGUAGGAUAGAACACGGCCAAGGCCCUUUUGUGAACUAGAAUAAGUAUAUAAUCAUGGGUACUUUUCUGGCCGAUCUCAAUAUUGCAUGUCUCACACACCAACCAAAUCUCAAUAUCACAUGUCUUACAUAGCAAGUCACAAAUAUGUCAUAAAUAAUCUUUGAUAUUCCACAUGUAUCAUAAUAAAAGAAAUUUCCAUAAUAACCAUAUAAUUCGAACACAUAAUUGCACAUACUUUGACAUACUUAAUUUAUAAAUAUUUUAAAAAUAUUUAUCUUUUUUCUCUCACAGAACUAUGUAUGCCAAAAUCAAUUCAAUUGGUACGCUGUUCCGAUAUCCGUAUCGCCGCAUGAAAUAUAAUAUAAUUUUUAAAUCAACAAUUAACUAAUUUAAGUAAUUUCAAUAAUCAAAUAGGCGAUACCUAAACAUAAUUAUUUCAUGUUUAGGGGAUUUCUUAAGUCUCUUUAAUUACUAAAAUUAAUUUUUCUUUCAUUUUACUCAAUUUCAUAGUUUAUUACACUUAACCACUUCAAUAAAAUUAAAUUUAACCUAACAAUCUAACAACUACAAAAUCAAACAUAACUUAACAAUAAGUAACUUUUUACUUACCCUUCAAAAUUGAGAAAUUUAAGCCUAAUAGGAUAGAGCACUUAAUUCCUAACACAUUGGCGAAAUUUUCUUUUUUUUCCUUCUUUUUCUUCCUCUUUUUCUUUUUUUUUCUUUUCCUCUUUUUCCUUUCUCUUUUUCUUCUCUGGUACCUUUUUUUUUUUUUUUCUGUUUUGGUGUGUGUAAAGUGUGAUAUGCGUGUCUUAUUAAAGAUUGGAUUACAUAUAUAUCUAAUACAUUGGAAAUGGGUUGGUUUGCCGCCUGCCAUUUUUGUCUUUUUCUUUUUAAUUUUUUUGUUUGACUUUUUUUUUUGUUUAAUGUUUUACAAAACUCACCCCCUUAAAAGAAUUUCGUCCUCAAAAUUCAAUUGACUAAGCGUGGAAAAUCUGGGGAUACUGAGAACGCAUCUGCUCUUCACUUUCCCAUGUCGCUUCUUCUAUAGCAUGAUUCCUCCACAAGACUUUAACCAAAGGAAUGGUCUUACUACGCAAAGCAUGUUCCUUCCUAUCCAAUAUCUGAACUGAUUUUUCUUCAUAGGUAAGUUUUUCUUUAGCUAUUUUUCUUCAGCUCUACUGGUUGUGAUUCCAAAACAUGAGAUGGAUCUGGAAUAUACUUACGAAGCAUAGAAACAUGGAAUACAUCAUGAAUUUUAGACAAUUCUGUUGGCAAAGCCAAUCGAUACGCAACUGGACUGAUGCGUUCAACAAUCUCAUAUGGGCCAAUAUUCUUCGGACUCAAUUUACCUUGUUUAACAAAUCUGAUAACAUCUUUCCAUGGAGACAAUCGCAGGAAAACUCUAUCUCCAACAUCAAAUUCAAGGUUUCUUCUGCGUCUAUCUGCAUAGUUCUUCUGUGUAUUUUGCGCUGUUUUUAACUUUUCUUUAAUUAUCUUUACUUUCUCGGCAGUAAUCUGGACAUAUUCAGUACCCAAUAACUUUCUUUCACCAACUUCAUCCCGACAUAUUGGAGUUUUGCAUUUUCUACCAUACAGUGUUUCAAAAGGAGCCAUUUCUAUACUCGAAUGAUAACUGUUUUUAUAGGCAACCUCCAUCAAAGAAAGAUGAGUAUCCCAAUUCCCUUUGAACUGUAGUACAAAAGCUCGUAACAUGUCUUCUAGAGUCUGAAUAGUUCUUUCUGACUGACCAUCUGUUUGUGGAUGAAAAGCUGUACUGAAAUGAAGUUUAGUACCCAUAGCUUUCUGCAAACUGGGCCAAAAUUUAGAAGUGAAACGAGAAUCUCUAUCUGAAACAAUAGAUACUGGUGCCCCAUAUAAACUAAUUAUCUCGUCAACAUAUAUUUUUGCCAAUUUAUCUAAUAAGUAAGUGACUUUAAUAGGCAAAAAUUUAGCAGUCUUUGUCAAUUUGUCUACAAUGAUCCAUAUGCCAUCAUGUCCACUCUGAGUUCGUGGAAGUCCAAAUAGAAAAUUCAUAGUAAUGUGUUCCCAUUUCCACUCAGGAAUAGGCAACAUUUGGAAAAAUUUUGCUGUUACAUCUGGACACAAACUUAGCUAUUUCUCUCUUCAUUCUAUGCCACCAAUAGUAUUUUUUAAAUACACGAUACAUUUUUGUACUACCUAGAUGCAUCACGUAAGCUGAACUAUGUGCCUCUUCUAGAAUUUCUCCCUUUAAUUUCGAAUUAUCUGGAACACAUAAUCUGUUUCCCAUAACUAAAGCUCCAUCAUCUCGAAUGGUAUAAUCUGUAUGCUUACCUUUACUAGCUUCUUCUUUCAAUUUACUCAACACUGGAUCUUGAGUUUGAGUUUCUUUAACUAUGUCAAUCCAAGUAGGCCUCACUUGAAAGUUGGCAAACAAUGCUUCUACACUGGUAACUGAUAAUUGAGCAUGAGAACCUCUGAACUCACUAAACAAAGAUGAACAUACUGCAUUAGUUUGAGUCAUAGGACUCGAUAUUUUUCGACUGAGAGCAUCCGCAACUACAUUAGCCUUCCCUGGAUGAUAAUCAAUCUUGCAGUCGUAAUCUUUUAUCAGCUUUAACCAUCUUCUUUGCCUCAAGUUUAACUCUUUUUUUAUUGAAAAUAUACUUUAAGCUUUUAUGAUCUGUAUAUAUUUGGCAUCUCUCACCAUACGAGUAAUGUCUCCAAAUUCUCAAGGCUAGAACAACUGCAGCUAGCUCUAAGUCAUGUAUAGGAUAACUCAGUUCAUGUUUCUUCAACUGCCUGGAAGCAUACGCUAUAACUUUCCCAUUCUGCAUCAAAAGACAACCAAGACCCUGACGUGAAGCAUUACUAUAUAUCACAAACUCUUCACCAGGAGAUGGAAGGGUAGGAACUGGAGCUGACACUAAUCUAUUCUUCAAUUCGAGGAAACUUCUCUCGCAAUUUUCAUUCCAAACAAAUUUAGCAUUUUUUCUAGUCAAAUUGGUCAAAGGCAGAGCAAUCUUAGAAAAUCCUUCUACAAAACGACGAUAAUAACCUACCUAUUAAGCCAAGAAAACUUCGGAUUUCUGUCACAUUAGUAGGCCUUUCCCAUUUUACCACUGCCUCUGUUUUCUGCGGGUCAACAUAAAUUCCUUCUUCUGAUAUGACAUGUCCCAAAAAUACAACUUUAUCAAGCCAAAAUUCACAUUUACUGAAUUUAGCAUACAACUGCUCAUCACGUAGAGUCUGCAAGAUGAUUCUGAGAUGUUCUGUGUGCUCAUCAUGAUCUCGAGAGUAUACUAAAAUAUCAUCAAUGAAUACAAUCACAAAUCUGUCUAAAUAUGGGCGAAACACUCUAUUCAUCAUAUCUAUAAAUGAUGCUGGUGCGUUGGUCAACCCAAAUAGCAUCACAAGAAAUUCAAAAUGACCAUAUCUUGUCCUGAAAGCAAUUUUUGGCACAUCACUAUCCUUGAUUUUAAGUUGAUGAUAUCUAGAACGCAAAUCAAUCUUUGAAAAUACUGCAACACUUCGAAACUGAUCGAACAGAUCAUCAAUACGUGGCAAAGGAUAUUUAUUGCGAAUUGUCACCUUGUUCAAUUGUCUGUAAUCUGUGCACAGUUGCAUGGUACCAUCCUUCUUUUUCACAAAAAAAACUGGUGCUCCCCACAGAGAUAAACUAGGCCUGAUGAAACCCUUAUCUACCAAUUCUUGCAACUGAACAUUUAGCUCUUUCAAUUCUGCUGGUACAAUUCUAUAGGGUGCCCGUGAAAUAGGUACAGUUCCUGGAAUCAGAUCUAUAGUGAACUCCAUAUCUUUGUCUGAUGGUAAUCCUGGUAAUUCUUCUGGAAAUACGUCAGGAAAGUCCUUGACCACUGGAAUAUCUUCAAGUUUUAGUUUGCUAACAUCUGUAUCAAUUACAUGAGCCAAAUAUGCAUGACAGCCCUUGUUAAGUAAUCUUCUAGCGUCAAUAGCAGAUAUCACACAAGACGGUAAAAUUAUAUGCUGUCCAUUGAAUAUAAUUUCAGGCUGUCCUAGCUGUCUAAACACAACCUCCUUUUGAAAACAAUCAACUGAAACUCGAUUUGUUGCCAAAAAGUCUAUACCCAAGAUAACAUCGUAAUCGUGUAUGUCAAGAGGUAUUAAAUUUGCCUUCAGCUCGUUCUUCUUUACCUUAAUCCCACAAUCUCAAUAUAUAUUGUUUGCUAAUAGUGAUUUUCCUAUUGGUGUAUUCACUACCAGACAACUGCCUAAAAGUUUUGGCUUUUGAUUCACAUAUAAAGCAAAUACAAAUGACAUAAAAGAAUGUGUAGAUCCAGGAUCAAUCAAAAUACAAGCAUUUCUAUCAAAAAUAGACAACAUACCCAUGAUAACAUCUGGUGACUCCUUUGCCGCCUGCUGAGUCAUAGCAAAAAAUUUGCCCUGGGUCUUUGGUCGUCCUACCUGUCCUUUUGAUUUUGUACCACUACCGCUUGCAAUAUUAGAGUGGGCCACACUAUUUGUACCUGCUCUAUUAGCUGAAUCAUCUCUCUGAGUCUGAUUCUGUCUUGUACUACCAGUACUCUGCUAAGGAAACAUCCUUUGUGCCAUGCUACCCUCCUGAAAUAAAAUUGGGCAAUUCCUUUUCAGAUGUCCUUCUUGGCCACAGCGAUAGUAAACACCAAUUCCCUUGAACUUUAAACACUCUCCAGGAUGAGAUCUUCCACAUAAUUGGCAAGAAGAAAAUCUGGCACUAGUAGAAUCCUCUCCCUGUUUCAGAGUAAAUGAUCUUUGGAAAGAACCCUGAGUGUAAUUAUGACUAGCCAAUGGCUGCUGUACAGUAGUGGGACUGAAUCUAGGACCCUGACUUCCUCGAAGUCAAGAUUUGAAUUGACCUGAACUGGACACACCAGGUCGAAAUCCUCUACUGUCCCUCCGUGGUGGUCAUAGCUAGAAGCACUUGCCAUUGUCUAACUACCGCUUGCUCUGAACAUUGUUUGUUCUCUACCACUUGGCCUAUCAGAAAUGCUCUUUUCUACCCUCAAAGCUGAUUACACUAAUUUGCCAAAUUCAUUCCAGCCUGCAGCUGUUACAACUGACCUGAUUUCUUCCCUUAACCCAUUUUCAAACCGUCUACAUUUAUCAAUUUCGUUGCAUACCAAAACUUGGGCAUAUUUUGAAAGUUCAAUAAAUUUCACCUGAUAUUCUGCAAUAGUCAUCUGGCAUUGUAUUAGUUUCAGAAAUUACUCCUGCUUUGCAUCUUUAUAGGACCGAGGAUAAUAGGCAUCGUAAAAGAUAAGACGAAAAACUGUCCAAGUAAUGAUUGAAGGGUCUAGAUAUGUGCUCCGUACUGACUGCCACCAAUAAUACACACCCUUCUCUAAUAAAAAGGUGGCAAGACACAACUUCCGAUCGUCUAAGCAGCCCAUAACGUCAAAUACCGUCUCUAUCUUUAUCAUCCAUGCCUGCACAACUGCAGGAUCUGCUGUGCCAAUGAACACUUUAGCCCCUAACUUUGUAGCCCUUUCAAUACUAAAAUCUCUGUCAGUAUUACGCAUAGCAGAUGCAACUGCAGUAGUAAUUCUUUCAACAACAAUAUGAUCGGUUUCAAUCACAUUUUCUUGUCCAUGUUGUUCAGGAGUCUGGUGAACUGAUUCAUCUACUCUCUCGGGCUCUCUCAGUUCAUCUCUAUCAGGAGCAAUGUGAGACUGGGGCAAUAUAUCUUGGAACCUUCGAGUUUUGCCACCACGAGGCAUGAUUCACCUACAGUUAUGCAUGAUAUGCUAAAUAUGAGAAUGUAUGCAUGUACAGUGCAAACCCAUGAACUCUAAUGCAUGCUCUGAUACCAAACUGACACACCCCGCCCCGUGUAACACUACUAGAUUCGGACGUGGGAUGCGCCGAUGAUAGAUAUCAACUAAAAGUCAGACCCACCAUCAAGACUACUACAAAUACAAUAUAUUACUUUUUAUACAUCAUUUUUCUAACAAAAUUUCGGCAUUAUCUCCCCUGUAAACAGGACUAAUCAACAUGUGAUCAAUUUCACAUAAAUCCAAAACUAUAGCACAGCACAAUAAAAAUAAGUCGAAAUCUCCACUUUUACCAAGAAAUACAAUGAAAUAUACCUAUGGAUACAUAAUACAUAGUGAGCCCCAUAACUAUCUACAAGUGAUGCAAAAUCACAUCUAAACAUGAACAUGCGUCCCAAAAUACUGACUACAUGUUCUAUGAAGUGAGUCAUACUAACAAACUCUAUGGUGUGGCUCUGAUUCCAAAAUCAAGACUCAACUCCAAAAGAUACCCAGAUUUUCAACUACUGUCUGAUAAGGAAAAACGUGAAAAAAUAUAUGAGUUGAUAGCUCAGUGAGUGGAGAAAUUCAAAAUAAAUAUACUUUUUCAUUUAUACAUUUUUAUUGAAAAUCAAAUCCAUAUCAUUUGAUAAUUCACAAGCUACCAUCAUGUAAUCAUAGUCAAAAAGUAAAAUAUUCACAUAAGGUCAUAAAAAUAUCAUUUUAAAAUCAUGAUAUAAUAUCAGCUGAUAACCAUGCUAUAAUCUUAUCACAUCAAACGUGCUGAAAAAUUCACAAAAAAUGUACCCUCUGACUAAAAUAUAUAAUCCGCCCUUCGGGCUAAGAACUUUCGCCACCGGCCUUUGGCCCCCUCCAUGAACGAAAGUCGGUCUUAACGACCUCUUAUAAUCAAUUCUAGAACACGGUCAAGGCCCCUCUGUAAACUAUAUGUACACGAUCAAGAUCAAUGUCGGGUCAAGACCCUCCGUGUAGGAUAGAAUACGGCCAAGGCCCUUCUGUGAACUAGAAGAAGUAUAUAAUCAUGGGUACUUUUCUGGCCGAUCUCAAUAUUGCAUGUCUCACACACCAACCAAAUCUCAAUAUCACAUGUCUUACAUAGCAAGUCACAAAUAUGUCACAAAUAAUCUUUGAUAUUCCACAUGUAUCAUAAUAAAAGAGAUUUCCAUAAUAGCCAUAUAAUUCGAACACAUAAUUGCACAUACUUUGACAAUAUACUUAAUUUAUAAAUAUUUUAAAAAUAUUUAUAUUUUUCACUCACAGAACUAUGUACGCCAAAAUCAAUUCGAUUGGUACGCUGUCCCGAUAUCCGUAUCGCUGCCUGAAAUAUAAUAUAAUUUUUAAAUCAACAAUUAACUAAUUUAAGUAAUUUCAAUAAUUAAAUAGGCGAUAUCCAAACAUAAUUAUUUCACGUUUAGGUGAUUUCUAAAAUCUCUUUAAUUACUAAUUAUUCUUUCAUUUUACUCAAUUUCAUAGUUUAUUACACUUAACCCCUUCAAUAAAAUUAAAUUUAACCUAACAAUCUAACAACUACAAAAUCAAACAUAAUUUAACAAUAAGUAACUUUUUACUUACCUUUCAAAAUUGAGAAAUUCAAGCCUAAUAGGAUAGAGCACUUAAUUCUUAACACAUUGGCGAAUUUUUCCUUUUUUUUCUUUGCCUCUUUUUCCUUUCUCUUUUUCUUCUCUGGUACUUUUUUUGUUUUUUUGUUUUGGUGUGUGUAAAGUGUGAUAUGUGUGUGUUAUUAAAGAUUGGAUUACAUUUCUAAUACAUUGGAAAUGGGUUGGUUUGCCGCCUGCGUUUUUGUCUUUUUCUUUUUAAUUUUUUUUUUGUUUAAUGUUUUACAAAGACGUUGCGGAAGAAUAUGCUGUGAAACCGUUGGUUGUAAACAUGAUUCUAAAACUUCCACGGGAAAAGAAUGGGUUAGAUUGUUUUCUAAAGAUAUGUUUUUUGUUUCAUUUGAUGUCUAGCUUUUUAAUUAUCUUAAUUCUUUUUUCCCCUUUCAGUGGAGAUUGUGGAAUUUAUAUAAUUAGAUAAGCACAAUAUUUCAUCAACAAAAGUUAAACGAACCGUGAAAGCCAUUUAACAUUCUACAAAUUAGACAAAACUUUGCUGCUCAAUUGUUUAUACCAAGAAGAAGCAAGAUAAGAAUUAUAACAGAGACAAUGAAUGGGCGUCAAAGGGAAGAGAUUCGUGAUAUAUUGAUGAGGUAGAGAUAAAGAUGUAUUUGAAGAGGCAACGAUAGAUUAAUGUACAGGACUGACAAGCAAAUAAUGAUGAUGUUUAAAUUAUGACAUUUUGCAUUUUUAGUUGUUAGGUUAUUGAUGAGAUUUUGGCUGCAUUCAAUAUGUUGAUAGUUGAUGUUAAAUGAUUGUACAUAACUUGGUUGUAUUAAGUUGGUUGGAAUUUGAUCUUUUUGGUACAAAAUGAAUGCUUUACUACAAUUUUUAUCCAGGAAAACUGGUGUAGAUAAAUAUCAGGUUUUUAUCUUGGACUUUAAUUUUAUUUUAUUUUUUUAAUUUUGUCAAUUUUUCGAGUGUUUGUAACUUUUUUGAAUUUUUUUCCUUUUUUUAGUGUUUAUCACUUUUUUUUUAAUUUCUAUCACUUUUUUAAUGUUUAUCACUUCUGUUUAAAUUUUUGUCAUUUUCUUGAAAUUUCUAUUAAUUUUUGAGUAACAAAAAUCAAUUUCUUAAUAAAAGUGACAUUAUGUAUAAAAAAAAGUAACAUGUAAAACUUUCUUUUAGUGAUAUUGUUUCACUUAAUUUCACAUUUUAUUUUUACUUCUUUUUUUAUUUUUAAUUUUUUUGUCAGUUUCUUAAAAUUUCUGUCACUUUUUAAUAAAAGUGAUUUGGAAAAAAAGUAACGCUUAAAACUUUUUUUAAAAGUGAUAUUGUGUCACUUAAUUUUACAUAUUAUUUUUAUAUUUUUGUCACCUUCUUGAAAUUUUUGUCACUUUUUAAUAAAAGUGAUAUCGUAUGUGACUUUUUCAUAAAAUAGUGAUACUUAACUUAAAAAAAUGAAACUGUGUAUAUAAAAGUUACAUUGUGUCACUUUUAAAAUAUUUUACAAAGUAUUUCUUACUUCCAAAUUACUUUUCAUAUGAUUUUUCAAAAGACAUCUAAUUUUGUGGGAAUUUUUGUGAGCUGCCCUAUUUUUUUCUUUUUGUCAAUGGGAAAUAAGCUUCAAUAAGUGGUUACAAUUCGGGGUGUAAUUUUAGUCGUUUUGUCUCCAAUGUCUUCUUAUAGUAAGUGGAUAACGUAACCACAUCAUGCACUAACAUAGAUUAAAACUUGUAAAUAUUAGUUCCGUUCAAUAAAAUGUUUUGUAUAUUAUAAGCUUUGAACAAAACUACAGAUAAAAAUGAUCAGCUUAUGAGUAUUGUUUAUUAUAAUUUCUAUGAUUUUCAUUUAUUAUAUCAUGAAUUAAACAAUUUAUCUAGGGGAUUGAUGUAGCCGAAUCAAGAUUAUGGUUUGAUGAUUUUAUAAUUAUUUCUUUGAUUUUUAAUGCUUUCAAUUGCCUGAUCAACAAUUGGAUGAUUUGAUGCUAGUCAAUUUCGGGGCUCGAGAGGGUGGGAAUUUAGGCGUGAUCAUAAGAGUGAUGCAACAUAGAAUUUAUAGGUUUCGAGAGAAAGUAUAAAUCUGUGAAGCUAUCUCCAUAAAAGAAUCGGAUCUUUAUUAAAUUCUUGAUUUUCAAUUUUGAACAGAGAUGUUAGAAUUGGGAUCUAGGGUUAAUUUCUAAUCGGUGCUCGAGAGAGGGGGUUAGAAAUACAUUAGGAUUCUUGCUUUUAAAUAUGGGAAAAUUAAUUGGAAUAAUUUGAAUUCGUUGAAUCAUAAUUGAAAGUUAGGUGAAAUCAAUCCCUAGGCCUUCUCAUUUGAUAAUUUGUAUUCCCCAAUUUUGUCACAUCCAAUCACGUUAGUUUAGUUUAAAUCGUUCAUUCAUAAAACAUCAAUUCAAUCAUACAUUCAUCUAAAUAAAGUAGAAAUUGCAUAAUUAUAGUACUUAGUGAAAAUUAAAUACAAUCCCUGUGGGUUCGACACUCUUACUUCAAUACUAUAUUACAAAACUUGACACCGUAUACUUGUGGUUAAACCACGUUGUAUAAAACGUGUGGCAAGUAUGAAAGAGCUUUACCAAACAUUCACGAAAAGUGGAUACCUAGGGUUUUUACUGGAGAUUCUGCAUAUAUAUUAAAUUUUUUAAAUAUAUUUUCAACAUAAUGGAAUGGGAAAGUACAAUUUCAUUAUAUUUUUUAGAGAUCUUAAUCCCUAAUAUUGCAUUUGUUACCGCCACAUCUUUCCUAUCAAAAUGUAUUGUUAACAUUUUAUUAGUGUUCAUGAUGAUAUCAUGACUUUUGUCCAUAAUUAACAUAUAAUUCACAUAUAGAUAUAGAAUUAUAUAGGCUUUGUAUACAUGUUUUAUGUACACACAUUUGUCACUCUAUUAAUUUUAAAAUUAUUUGACAACAUUGUUUUGUCAAACAUUUGGUGUCAUUAUUUUGGAGUUGCUUCAAAUCAUAUAGGGAUUUAACAAGUUUGCACACUUUUCAUUCUUGGUUAGGAGCAAUAAGCCCUUCAGGUUGCUCUAGGUAUAUUUUUUCUUCCGAUUCACCAUUCAAAAUAUUGCUUUCAUGACCAUUUGAUGAAUUUCAAGGUUAUGUAAUGAUCAAUUGUAAUCAACACCCUCAUCAAAGUGAUUUUAGUCAUAGCUGUGUAAGUAUUAAAGAAGUCAAGUCCUUUUUGCCUAUAGCCUUUUGCAACCAACUUAGUCUUAUAUUUAUCAACGGAUCCAUCCUUUUUUUUCUUGAAAAUCCAUUUAUACGCUUGAGGCUUAUUUCCCAGUGGUAAAUCAAUCAACUCCCAAGGAUGAUUUUGCAUUAUAAAUUCUAUCUUUCCUGUUUUCAAUGGAGUGUUCCCCGUGUAGACAUUGCUUGACUAAAUGUCUUACGAUCACUUUCUACCAUAUAGGUUUGAAAAUUCUGAACCAUAUGAAGUUGAUGUUCUAGCUCUCUUGUUUUACUGUGCUUUUAUUCUUCAUCAUUCAUAGUACUGUUUGCAGUUUCGUAAGUUCUCUUAUAUGAACUUAAAUCUUCUUUACCUUUGCAUGGAGUGAUAUUUUCGAAAAAUAAGCAUUUCUUGAUUCAAUUAUGGUGUCUUCAUGUAUGUCUUGUAUAUCAAACUUAUGAACAAUAAAUCGAUAUGCACCACUAUUAUUGGUAUAUCCAAUAAAUAUGCAAUCAAUUGUCUUAACCAUGAUUUUAAUUUGUUUCGGCUUUAGUAAUUCAACCUUAGCCAAAUAUCUCCACACUUUCGAGUUUAAGAAGGUUAAUGAUAUUUCAUAAUUCAUAUGGAAUUUUAUCAAUUUAUUUUAGAGAUAUUUUAUUAAGGAUGUGAGUUACUAAAAGUAUAGCCGUUAACAAAAUAACUAAAGCAUGAAAGCAGAAUUUAAAUUUUUAUUUAUAAUGCUUUGUUUCGAUACAAUAGUAAGAAUGUUCAUUUUGAACAUUACAUCACAUAAGUAUCAUUUUCAAAAUAUAUAACUUAUUUUUAGUGAGUACAAAUUUAUCGGAUACAAAUACUAAUUUUAAAUCAUUUUUGCUUAGUAGAGACCUAGAUGCAAGGUUCCUACGAAUGUUCAACACAUAUAUGAUAUUGUUGAGAAAUGAGAAUGAGUUCUUUAUUGGAAGUCAUCUUCAAUGUCACCUUCCCUUGUAUUGAAACUUGCAGAACUCUCCAUAAAGAGUUGUUCUCCAUGGAGUUCUUUAUGGUUGGAGAGUAAUACGUUGUUAGCAUAAAUGUGGCAAGUAGCACCAGAUUCAACCCAUCGUGCUCUUAGUUUCCAACAUUGUUAUAUUUAAAAACAACCGCUGACAAGUUCAUUUCUUGCAUCCCGUUAGGUUGUGUUCUUUUUUAUUUUUUUAUUUAUUUUUUAUUUUAAUCAUAUUUGCUAAUGCAUUUUUCUUAGGCUUGCGACAUCCAUUUAAACGAUACCCAAGCUUUCUCACAGUUAUAGCAAUUGCCUUUGAAUUUCUUAACAAUCUUGGUUUCCUUUUGGUGCGUCAUCCAAGAAUUUUCCAUUUUUGUUGAUCUUUGAAUCAGAUUCCACCAAGUUGGCUUUGACUUGCUCAAAUUGAAAAACAGACAUUCUCUCAAUCUUUGUGGUCUUUUUCUAUCCUUAGUCAAACAACAAGUUUUUCUAAGGUCAUCUCUUUACACUUAUGUUUGAGAUAUUUUUUGAAAUCUCUCAAUCUCAAUGAUUGCAGCAACUUGGAAUGACUCACUCAACGUCAUUUUCUCCACAUGAAUGUCAUGGAGAAGAGAAUUACAGUUAUUGCGCUUUACUGAUGAUUGUCUUGAAGUCUAUCAUCUUGUAAUUAAGGAACUUUUCGAUGAUGAAUUUUUUCAUGUGAUGUUCUCCAUUUUAUAUCUUUUCUCCAAAAAAAUCCCAAAGUUCUUUAGUAGAUUUCAGUAAUGAAUAUACUCUUCUAUCUAACGCCAAAAUUGACAAAUAAUUUGAGUAACUAUUCACAUGUUGGGAUACUGCAAUCUUGUUAAUUAAGGUUGUAAAUACGAUAUUCCAUACUUAUUUUGAAUUGAACUAUUUGUACCUUAAAAAUGUACAUCCUUGAAAUCAAAAUCAUUGAUUGCUUUAAGUAUUGUUAAAAUUAAUGAUAAAAACAUGUCUUAUAUCACACAAUGUCAACAAACCUAUCAAGGAAACUGUAAAUUUAGCUAAACUAACUUAUUUCACUAUAGAAAUAAAUGGAAUAGAGAAUCGAUUUCCAUUGCUUAAAAUCUUAAAUACAUUUAACUUUUCCUAUUUCCCAUAUAUCUUAAAAGAGAGAAUCCCAUGCUACUCUUCAUUUGUGUUUUUUCUUCAUGGUUCAUUGUUCAAUUAUAAAAUGUGGUAUGAAAACUUCUACCCUUUAAUUUAUUGUUCAUCUGAAAUUGGCAGCCACCUUUUUUUUUAAUAGAAUCCCCCUAUCUACUUUGACCUUAAAAGAUGCCUAGAUCAAUGUUCUUCUUGAUGCAGAGUUUUCACACUUAACUGGUUCUCCACUGUAGCUAAAUUGGUUCUACAUUUUUCAUCUAAAAAAACAAAUUUAGCGCAUUCAAUUGUUCACAGAGCCAUUUACUAUUGCCGCUUAUUCAAAGAAAAGAGAAGUCUUAGUGAGGACCAAUAUUUUCAGUAGCUUUUGGUUCAUGAAUCCUAACUUCAUCUAUCUUGUUGCGAAAAUCCCUAGAAAAAUCUUGAUUUCGGGCUUAGAAAACAACCAAACGAAUACCACCCGACCAAGGCUCGACCCAAACCAAACCAAAUGAACACUUUUGUUGCCUCAAAUUUCUAGGCUCACGCAGUUAUCCUCUUCUAACCUACAAAGGAUCACGGUGGCGGUGAUUACAACAUCACAAAGGGAGGAAGAAAUGAAAGGGACCAAUAGUUGGAUAUCACUAAAUCACCUCACCAAGACAUGGCUGCCUCUCUCUUAUUUUCUCUCCUCUGUUGUAACUCUCUCACACACGCACCAAGGAAGAUACGGCUAGGAACAAAACAUAUAUAGCAAGACAUUAGGUCACUCAUAUGGAUUGGGCCACAGUUUUCUCUAUAGAUGGGCUGACACUUAAUUACAAAUAAAUGGACCACACAAUCCAAAAACCAUCUAACCCAAACUUGGGUUAUCUAAAAGUAUAGGUUGUUUUCGAGCCAAGCCAAGCCUAUGGUAUCGAUAAGUUUUCCGUGAACUAUUUUAAAUCAUAGCUUAGAUUUAUUGGGUAUCAAAACCCAAAAAAUCUUUACCUUAAUGCCCAUUAAAUCUAUAAGCAAUGAAAACACAAAGUUUAUACUUGUAUAAUCAAGGUAACCAAUAAAAUUGGUAUCACAGACCUUACCUCGUAUUUCUAACAUGAAAUACAUACCAUAUCUGCUCUAUGUACUCACCAGGGCUUAAGAUCAAGAGUACUCGAGCAGAAGCUGAUAUUCAUAGUAAUCAACCAAGAGCAAAUAAACAUGCGAUAACGAUAUAAUAUAGGAUAACACAGAUCUUUUCAAAAAUACGGUCACAUAGAACAACAUAUUAACACCAAGUUAAUCAAACACACGGUCAAAUACACAUGCAACAAAUCUAAUUCUUGCUGAAUAAAGUUACUUCUUAUGAAAUCCACUAUUAGACUCUGCCAGUUCAUGAAUUGUGAUUUUAUUAAUACACUCUUAAUGUAAUUCUUGGCGAACUAGGUAACUACAAAUGUUACAAAAAGCUAUUUAUCAUUUGAAUUUUAUGUUAUAACGGACUGGAAUAUUUCUAUUUUAAUAAUUGUUCGAUCUCAUUUUGUAGAUUAAUUAAUUUUAUUGUAGUACUUGCUGUUUGAAAUUUGACUUUGUGGGUGGUAAUGACUUAUUUAUUUUUACCACUAGCGUAAAAAUUUAUGUUUUAAAAGUGAUUAGCAGUUCUAUGGCUUUAGAUGUCCAUUGUUAAAUAAUAUGUGCCUCUAAAUGUACAUUGUUCAAUGUUAUUACAUCGAGGUUUAAAAAAAUUGACCGAAGGCUUAACUGCGUGGCUCUAUACUACUACAAGUAAGAAAUAAGGUUGAAGUACUAUGGAUAUUAGAGCUAUCUGUUUAAAUGACUCAAAUUAGUGAACUGUGCUUAUCUAUGCUAGCAGGUUAGGUUCAUCAGACUAGGUAGCUUAAGAGCGUGGAAUUGGACCGCCCUCAAUAGAUGAAUAUGGUAUAUAAUGGAAUUGACCCAAAAAUUUCUCUAUUUACAUUUUGCCAGUCUUUGGUAACAGCGUAAAAUCAGAUAGAGUAUGUCCAGCUGUAAUCCUCAACCGAUCUUACCUGAUCUAAUUGUAUUACUGACUAUAAUUGAUUUCUUGUGUGUAAUAGUAUUCUAUAUGGCCUCACUGGUAAGUGGUUACCUAUACCCUGCUUCCAUUCCUCCUUUUUAUAAGAAAGCCAAAUGUUAGAAGAACUCGGUCAUUCUAGCAGCGACAAGAAGACUAUAAAAAUGACCAAGAUCAAGAUACUAUGGUCCAGUCUUCGUCACAUGCUGUCGUUUCUAGGACCGACUGACGCCUCACCUGCAUUGGUACCUAGUGUAGUGGUUGCACAUUCAACGUAGUGUUUGGACUCACGUGCCUUCUAGGACCGAGAUCUCUGAGUGUGCUGCAUAUGAUUUGCCAGCUUUGUGGCAACAAAAAGAUUAGAUGUCCCCCCAUGCUAUGACCAUUUGUAAUUUCAUCUCUUUCACCCCAUGUCCUAUGUCCCACCAUAGUAUAUCUCUACACCUUGACACCUUUUACCAAUUAGAUUCCUUACACGUGUAGACUUUAAUCAUCAUGAAAAUUCAGCGUGGCCAUUGUUUCAUUUAUUUAGGUUGAGGAUGCAUUUUACUGUUUCUCUGUUGCUAUAGAGCUUUUCAUUGGAGAAAGGGACUGGAAAGAAGUGCUUUAUGCUGGCUUCAAGGAACCUCAUUAUAUGGGAUUGUCCACCCCGUUGGCAAUGUAUCUCUUUUCCCAACUCCAGGUUCUAUAUUUAUCCUUCAUAAGAAUAACAAGUAUCUCUUUUUUUCCCUAUUAAUUAUCUCGCUUGAUAUUUUGUUGAGUGUCUGAUUCAGAUUUCCAGAGGUCGCAGUGCGUCUUGUUGGGUACUUGUUUACAAUUUGUGGCAAGAUAAAUACCUCCAUGCUUUCUUCAGGAACUAAAUAUGCAGCUUACCUCGUGUUCACUUUGAGAUAAGGAAUUAAUGGAUAUGGGCACCAGCUUGUUCAGGCUUUGAUAGAAAUUAGUGGACAAAACGCUGAUGAACAAACUAACUAUUUACAAAUUGGACAAGAAGCUGAUGGUACAACUGUCUAUUGUCCAGAUGAAGAACAGAGGCAAAGGUGCCAGACUGUUCCUAGACCCAAAACUUUCUUGCAUUUAAUCUCUCAUGUAUUUUGACGGCUAGACAUCAUAGAGCCCUCAGAGUUGCACAGAUAUCCUAAGUUCAGGGAUGAUGGAUGGAUGGAAGUUGAGAUGGGAGAGUUCUUCGUCGAGGGGAAACAAGAUCAGGAUGUGAAAAUUAUAUCUGUGCCAUGGAAUCCAGGACUGUGGUGUAAUUGUUGGCAUGGUGGUCAUCUUAUUAUUCAAGGUAUUGAUAUCAGACCAAGAGCUUGGUGAAUAUUUGAUUUACUAUUUUCAUC